rnacentral:lncRNA from 1 species
AAUCAAAUAAGUUCCACUUUGCAAAUCUUGUGAAUGUUUGAAAUCGUGAAUAUUUGCUUGUUAGUGUGAAAUAAUAGUUGAUAUAUUUGUGCAUGGGUAAAUAGUUGCCAUCAUAAGUAUCACCUGAAUUAGCAUAUAUAUUGUGCAUUGUAUGGCAUACGCAUAGUUCUUUUAAUAUUGCCAGGUGAGACUGGGAUCAAAACUUUACCUUUAAAUAGUUCUUUCCUUAUUCCCUUAGAGUGAUCUAUUUUUUGUGAUCUAAUUGAUCAACAGCUGUUCAGUGCAAAAACAGGGAUUUCCAAGCUAGUUUUUAUUGAGAUAUAGAUACUACUAAAUUUCAAUCUUUCUUACAAUGCUGAUAUUGCCAAAUUAAUCAUGCCAUUAUUAAGAAUAUCAUGGGACUAUAAAUGUUUAAUGCUGAGUUUUAAUCUGAUGGACAUGACAUCUGGCUGCAACAUUUGUAAAGGUAUAGUAUCAUAAGAAAAUGUAGGAAACCAGACCACUUGGCCGCUUAUGUCCACUAUUAGUUUAGCCGCACGUAGGCCCAUCUACUCAUUUGGCUUAGCCUCUUGCUAUGCGUUGACGCAUUGCGUUACAGGGAAGAGUAAUGGAACAAAAGGAUUUGGAUAGGAGUGGUGGAGAAGAAAUGAUGGUUCUGAGAUUGACGGAAAAAUUGUGAAAAUAGAGAUGUAUAGUUCAAGAGGUUUUGGCAAGAGGUACCUAUUUCAAGAAGCAUGGAAUUUUUUCUUGUUGUUGAACUCAUGUUGGUAAAGCAGCUAAAUAUUUUAGGAUUUUGGCUCGUAGGAUCAUCUGCAUUUACUGUUUUACAGAGUUCGAUUGAAUCAUAAAUUUCAUGAUUAACCUUCUUUAAAUCUCAAAGAACAUAAACAACCAUCGGUACAAUGUAUAAAUUUUGAUCAUUUAUAGAGCUUCAGCAUUCUUAGUAAUGUGUAAGCUGUUUUUUCUUCUAAACGAAUACUGAACACAGAUGGAUAUACUGGGUGGCGGUGUAUCUCGUUUUCUGUAGUUUUUUCGCUUAAGAAAUUUGCAUAGGAAAUUUUAGCGCCAUAUGUGGAGACCUUUCUACUGCAUUCUCCAUUGUACUUGCUUUGUGUAUUUCGCUUAAUAGUUGCUUGAGCUACCAUGUUUUCUGAUGCUUUCACUUCUCUUCUGCAGGCGGCAGCCACAGCUAGCUCCUUACAAGCUAAAGUGCGAAAAAGAGCCACUUAAUAGCAGGUAAAGCAUAAAUUUCAAUAUAGUUUCAUUGAUUUGCAUAUAGCCAUAUACUGAGAGGAGAAUUGCUAAACUUCUGGUUGGAAAGCCUCCCGAUCUCUUUCAACAUACAUUAAGAAAUAUCUUCUUCUCCGUAGUCUUACAAAAAUUACAUAAUUUUGCAUUCUCAACUCUUAUAGCUCUGAAAUAGCAUAGAAAACUGUAACUAUAUCCCAUACAUUCAAAUAUGCUUCUGCUUGCUGCAUAGUAAAUCUACAGUCUCGUUUUCACAGAUAAAUAUAACUAUCGCAGAUAGUUUCUACAAUUUAUUUGUGUUAAUUUGUGAAUUUAGCCAUGCACUUUUUGUGAAGCUCUUUCCAUUUGUUUUCUAGACUUGGCCCACCUGACUUCUAUCCGCAAACUCCAACUUGUCCGGAAGAGACGCUAACUAGAGAAUACCUACAAUCAGGUUAUAAGGAGUCUGUUGAAGGAAUUGAGGUUUGUUUCUGAACUACCUUGAUUUUGUUUCUUAUCAUCACGCUUUUUCCUGCCAUAUGGUAUUUUCUUUUUCAUCUGUUUAUCGGCAAUGUAAUAUGUAUCUAGUAGUUUCAAACCAUACCUUUCUUAAUCAAUUAGUUGUCACUCACCAUUUUAGAGUCAACUGCAUCUUUCAGAACUCCCUCUUGGUGUCUAUUCUUCUCGCAUGUGGAUAUAGAUAUCACAAAGUGGAUGACAUACGUUGGUGCAGGAAUAAUGAAUUUCAGCUGUUAAUGAAGAUUUAUGAUCAGUUUCUUAGCUUCUUAGUAUAAAUUUUGAAUUACCUUAUCAAAACCAACUUUUCUCGAUGAGGUCGAUCAUUUGCCUUUAGUCAGAUAAAAUUAACUGAUCUUUUUGGCCCCAUUUUUUCUUUUCCUCCUCCUUCAAUUCUCGUUUUGUCUAGCUUGUGAUUUAUUUUAUAGUUGUUGUUUUUUUUUAUCUGUCUAACACCUUUUACUUUGGAUCUGACAGGAAGUCAGAGAGAUUAUAUUGAGUCAAGUUGGGUAUUUCAUCAAGCCUGAGGUCACAUUAAGAUGCAAAGAGGUAAUCAUGCCAUCAAAUAAUAAUAUGUGCUGGCAAUGCUGCCAACUUUAAUUACCAUUGGUUUCUUUUCUGAAUUUAUUUCUAUUGUACUUCUUUUUUUAAAGUUAAACAAUAUAAUCUCCUUCGCUUAUAGUUUACACAUCAGAGCACUAGAGUAGAGAAAAACAAAUGACUUUUUAGACUUUUAGUGUCAUUGUCCACUUCCCGUAAAAUUGCUAUGAAGAAAGUUCCUUGCUGCGAUUAUUUGUACAUGCUAUUUUAGGAUUUUGCAGUAUUGUUUUUUAAUAAGUGUUGAACUUUUAGUUGAUUAAACGAAAGUUCAGGAUUAUAUCAGAAAUUGUCAUACUUAGUUAAAUAUCUUCAUAAAAAAAAGUUAAAAAUAGCAUUAUUUACAGUAUGAAAUGCCAAUUAUGGAUGUACUUCAAAGACGAUGAAAAUGGUUUUGACUGGAUCAAAUAGGGAUUUCAAAUGGUGUUAAAAGGCUUUUCCCAGCACUUCUUGUCAUUAUUUGUAGUUCUAACUUGUUGCUUCAAUGGAUGAGGAGGUGUUUGAAUAUUAGGUAUUCUUACUCUGUUUGCAUAUAUUUUUUUCAGUAAACUACAAUUGGUGCGUCAACCAGUUAGGAGAAGUGUCAUUGAUUGAUUUGUAGGAAGUUGCCUCCUGAAUUGAUGCAAAAGCAGUUUUGAUGCAUAUGUUCCCAGUUGUACAAGGAAAUCUCGUGUUCAAUUAGCAUUAUACUUCUAAUUGAGUGGCUAAACGGUAGGCAGUGAUACUUGAGGAUUGAAAUGAAAGAGGAAAGAAGAAGAAAAAAUAUUAGGCAACAAGUACCUGGAAAGGGUAGGCGAGUGACUCUGACAUCUCUAGAGGACUUUAGAGAAGCUUGUUAGGGUUCCCUUCACUCGAUCAGUUGUCUGUUUUAAUGAUAUCACAUUCUAUGUGGGCUUGUAUAUAGGGCCUGAGCAUGGUCAUUGAGCUGUGCUGUUUCAUUGCCUGGUAUCGUGUUCUCCGAUAGUAUGUAUAAAUGAGGGCUAGGCAUUAGUAUUUGGGCCCGACUAUUAAUUUUAUUAUUAUGUCAUAGCAUAACAAUAGUUGAUUUGAUUGUAGAGAUGAUAUAUUUGAGCGAACAGUUUUUGACUAAAUCCCCUAGUACUAUAGAAGAAGCUCAUGCUUAGCAGCCAGAUACCAAACUCAAACUUAUGAUUCUUUAGUUUAAAGAGUGUUCUCCUUUAGUCAUCUUGUCUUUCAUUUGCAUUAUUCUACCUAAUUUCUCACUGCAGAUAUUUUGUUAGAACUUCACUCACUGUAAUACAUUGAAUAAUGUGGUAAUAUGGCUAAGAAAUUUUAGUAUCGCAAUGCUAUCUUGUUACUUCUCUUCACCUAUGCUAUAAUUUGGUCAAUGCUUAUUCACAAAGUCUUCUGAUCUCUGUGCACAUAAUUUCACUGCAACUAUUGUCCUUCCGAAUCUCAAUACAGAGGACUUCUAUUGAAACAGUUACUUUCUUGUUAACUUGCUCAGUCGAGUGUCUAUCCUGAUACAAGCAGCCUGUGAUUUACUUUUUAAGUUUUUCUCAACUGAUUCUUUUCCUGUUUUUAUGCUAAGGCUAUACGGAAACGCUUUAGGGCUAUCAACGAAUCACGUGCUCAGAAGAGGAAGGUAGAUACUUCGAUUGUUCUGUCCAGUCGACAAUUGAUCUACAAUGUUUUCAAUUUGUGUCAGCAAAUGUAGUGUGAACCUUUCGCAUAAUGCUGUUACUAAUCGUGACCUCUGGUAAUACAACAGGCUGGCCAGGUUUAUGGAGUACCUCUUUCUGGAUCAUUGCUGAUAAAGCCUGGUGUCUUCCCCGAGCAAAGACCAUGCGGUGAAGAUUUCCGCAGGAAAUGGAUUGAGGUUUAGAUUACGAAUGCCUUUGUUUCGUUUGGAUUCCUAAUUUUUUUUCUAAUCCUUCGUGUGGUGCACCAAAUUGUUUUUCCCCCCUCAAUUAUGUGAUUUUCACUAUACAGUAUGUGAAUAGAGGCUUAUGGUUGGGGAGUUGCCAUACUUUCCUCCAUCUUCUUUUUUUUUUUUCAUUUUCUUUUUUUGGUGUGUGCGCUGGGCACUUAUUCUUUUGUUUGUUUUGGAUCUUUUGUCGUCUGUGAAGCUUUAGAAUAACCAGCUAUUGAUAACUUGGCAGGCUUUAUCACAGCAGCAUAAACGGUUACGUUCGCUAUCUGAGCAUGUUCCUCAUGGUUACAGAAGGAAAUCACUCUUUGACGUUCUUAUUCGCCAUAAUGUUCCAUUGUUAAGAGCAACAUGGUUUAUCAAAGUUAGUUAUCUUAAUCAGGUAUGGACAUGCUUUCUACUUUAGAACAUACCCAUUUUGCAUUUGCUUUAACUAUCUUGGAUUUCCUUUAAUUUUAAGGAUUCGCAGCCUACUUUUUGUAUUAAAGUCUGUGUACAUCCAGGUACGGCCGGCUUCAACCAGUGUUUCAUCUGGGGCUCCAGAUAAGGCACAAGCAACUCGGACUGAGCAGUGGACUAAGGAUAUUACAGAUUACCUUCAACAGCUGCUGGAUGAGUUUUUAUCGAAAGAUGGCUCUGCCGUACCUUUAUCCGGUAGAGAUCAAUCGUCACCAGGUCUUAUGGGUCAACCUCCUUCAGCAAAACACAGAGCUGAAUCUUCUCCAGUUAUUUCAGAAGUAGAGGAUACUUCUUUUCUUUUCAGAUGGUGGUAUGUGGUGCGCCUUCUGCAAUGGCAUUUUGCAGAAGGAUUGGUUCUCCCCUCUCUUGUUAUUGAAUGGGUCUUUGCUCAGCUUCAGGUAAUUAUUCUUCCUCUGCAUGCAAAAAAAAUGGGAAGCCCUAAUAGAUGCUAGGGGUUCUGGCGAAAAGGAAAAAUCUCUAUUUUUUGGUCUUGCAACUUUGAUCCACUGCUUUUGUUUUUGCAAUUUUUAACUGAAAUCUUGCUUUAUGACUGAAAUACCCCCUUGUAUUCCCAAUAUUACAGAUUUCAUCAUGGGGCAUUUUCAUCUGCAAAAAUGAUGUUUUGGCUUUAAGUUGUGAAAAAAGGAAAUAGUUGAGCAAAGUUGCAAAAAUCAAAAAGCAAGUGUACUAAACGACCCAGUUCAGAUUCUAUAUUAUCUUGAAUUAUAUUUUGAUCCUUAGAUUUUACUGAUGCUUCUUACAACUGUGCCUUCAGGAGAAGGAUUCAGUUGACGCCUUAGAACUGCUUUUGCCUAUUGUACUAAGCAUGAUAGAGAGCAUUUCCCUCUCACAAACGUAUGCACGCACGUUUGUGGAAAUAACUAUUCGAAACCUCAGUGAUCUUUCUUCUGGCAAUUUGAGUUUAAUCAGUAGUUCAAAGAAGACGUCUGUAGCUUCCACUCUAGUGGAAAUGCUGCGGUACAUGAUACUUUCUGUGCCCGACACUUUUGUUUCAUUGGACUGCUUUCCUCUUCCAUCCCAUGUUGCCCCUGAUAUAUAUGGUAGAAGUAACAUAGAGGCUGUUCACUUUGAGACCCGUGAUGCUUAUGUUCGGUAUUUGUCCUGUGGACAUGCUGUUUCCUGUAUUCAAAGACGGGCUUCUAAUCUUGGAAAGAUUGUAAGCCCUAACCUUCAAGGUAGCAGUGCAGCUAAAGUUGUUCAAACUCUGGAUAAAGCUCUGACUAUGGGCAGCAUGACAUUGGCAUACAGUUCUCUUUUUGAAGAUUUAUCUGAUCCUGCCAUGGAAGAAAGAUGGAUUGCUGAAGUCAGCCCUUGUUUACGAGCUUCUUUAAUGUGGAUUGGGACCAUCGAGUUGUCCCUGAUUUGCUCGAUAUUUUUUCUUUGUGAAUGGGCUACAUGUGAUUAUCGAGAUACGCGCACCACCCCGUCGCAGAAUGUUAAAUUUACAGGAAGGAAAGAUUUUUCUCAAAUAUAUGUUGCAGUCUUGCUAUUAAAGAAUAAAGUGCAAGAGAUGCACAGCCAAUUGACUUCGAAGAAUAGUGCUCCAUUGGUAAUUCGUAACAGUGGGAGAAGUGCUUCUCUGAAUGACACUUCAUUGCAGGCAGCGGUGGUGGAAAAUCCUUCUUUUAUUAGAAGUUGUACAAAGAUCUUGGAUGAGAAAAGAAUUAAUAAAAAGGAUAUCUUCCAGAGCCCUGGUCCAUUUCACGAUAUCAUUGUUUGCUGGCUUGAUCAGCAUGAGAUUUGUGAUUCUGGAGGACUGAAGCGUGUUGAAGUUCUUAUUUUGGAGCUUAUUCGUAGUGGAAUCUUUCAUCCUCAAGUGUAUGUCAGGCAGCUUAUAGUUAGUGGAAUUAUGGAUAGAAACGAUACUCAACUUGAUCUGGAAAGAAAGAGAAGACAUCACAAAAUCUUGAAGCAACUUCCAGCUUCUUGCUUAUUUGAUAUACUAGAAGAAGCUAGAAUAGCUGAAGCUCAACUUCUACAUGAGGUUGUUGCAGUCUACUCUACUGAGCGGAGACUUGUGCUUCGCGAACUUUCCGAUGGUCAGUCCAAUUAUGUGAGUAAUAGAAGUGAGAGGAACUCUUCUGGUCAAAAGCAAAAUGAUCAUCAAGCUGGUACUAGGGAUGUUAAGCAUGGCAGGACAAAGGAACAAGUUGCACAAGUGAAAACUUUGAUUUCAAAUUUACUGAGAUUUCCAUAUUCUUCUUCCUUGCCAAUUGAAGCACGGUCAGAUGAAUCCAAGGGGAGCGUCAAGCGGCCAAUAAACUCAUCAGAUAUAAAAGUCGAUUUUGCAGAAGGGAGACCUGGAUGUGAGGAAUGUAAAGGUUCAAAGAGGCAAAAGUUAGAUGAAAGAAGUUCUUUCCAAGGAAUACUGUUGAAUCAGUCAGAUGAUGAGGAUAGUUGGUGGGUAAGGAAGGGGCCCAAGUUCCCAGAGUCAUUUAAGGUAGAGCCACCGCAGAAAACAACUAAACAAUCCUCAAGAGGCAGGCAAAAAAUUGUGCGGAAAACCCAAAGUCUGGCACAGUUGGCAGCUGCUCGGAUUGAAAGUAGUCAAGGGGCAUCUACUAGUCAUGUAUGCGAUAAUAAAGUGAGCUGUCCCCACCAUAAAUCUGUUGGUGAAGGUGAAAUUUCCAAAGAUUUUGAACGGGGGAAAGUACAAAGUCCAGUUGAUGUUGGAAAAGCUAUAAAACGGCUUAGGAUGGUUGAGAAGAGGUCUGUCGCACUUUGGUUGCUGAAAUCAGUACGGCAACUUGUUGAAGGAAAUGAGAAGGCAGCUUCAAAAGCUAGUGUUACGAGUGUCUUUUCUGCGUCAACUGAUGAUAGGAAUGCUGUAAGAUGGCGCCUAGGAGAAGAUGAACUGUUGUCAGUUCUCUAUAUUUUUGACAUAUGUUGUGACUUUGUCUCUGCAGUCAGGUUUCUCAUAUGGUUGUUAGCUAAGACCCUUAGUGGAGUAAGCAAUCCUACUCAAGUUGGGAGAAAUAUUAUGCUGCCCAAGAAUAGAGAAAGCCUGAUUUGCCAUGUUGGGGAAGCAUUUCUUCUGUCAUCCCUUCAAAGGUAUGCUGGACUUUCUUUUGUUUGAUGGACAGCUGAGAAAAAUCUCACAAUGCUCCUUCCUGAUCGGCUUUUGUGUAGAUGUAAUCAUUUUUUCAUCAUUUCUUGCUGCUGCAGUUUUUAUAUCUUGUAGUGUUAGUUAAUCAGCACACAUAUACUUUAUCCUCUCUUUUCUUUUAAUUUUUUUGUGGGCUUGCGAAAGGUUUGUCACUUUCUUUUAAUGUUUUUGUGGGCUUGCGGAAGGUUUCUUUUAAUAUUUUAUCCUCUCUUUUCUUUCUAUUUUAAUUAAAAAUGCCUUUCUAUUUUAUGUUUUAGGAUGCAGCUUUUGGUUUUUUGUUGUAAACCACGUUGUUAUUAUGACGUCUAGAUUGAACAUUGUGUUUCUGGUUACCAGUUUGAUAACGUUAUUGAUAUAAAUGAUUGCUUUGUUUGAUAACGUUAUUGAUAUUAAUGAUUGCUUUGUUUGUAUUAUUAAAAUGUCUAGUCUGUAUAUUUUGGUCUUCAUCUUAUACUAAUAUUAGUUUACUACCUGGUAUCUAAUAUUUCCAAUAAUGCAGGUAUGAGAAUGUGCUUGUCGCUACAGAUCUUUUGCCUGAAGCUCUUACUGCCAUAAUGCCCAAAAGCACCAACAUGAUAGUUGGAAGGGUUUACGGUUCAGUGGCUUUUUCUUAUGGUCGAAACUUGUUGAAGAAAUACAAAGAUUUAGUCAGUGUGGUAAGGUGGGAAAAGAACUAUAGAGCUUCAGGUGAUCAGAAACUGCUUGCUGAACUUGAUGCCGGUCGAUCAGUUGAUGGUGAUUCAGUAUUUAGUUCUGGAGCCUCAGCAGGAGGAGAAGAAAUCGACGAGCAUAUACGUCAGAAAUUAAGUGGGAGAAUGCCAAGAACAGUUACAAACAUGAAAGAGAUAGUACAGCGACAUGUUGAGGAAGCUUUACACCAUUUUUAUGGGAAAGAAAGGAAAAAUAUAGCUACUGCUCCCAGGACCCCCCCGGAGAAAUGGGAAGAUAGUUACCAAAUAGCCCAUGAUAUUGUUAUGGGUUUACUUGACUGUAUCAGGCAGAAUGCUGGUGCAACUCCAGAUGGCGAUCCCUCAGUGGUGGCAUCUGCUGUUGCUGCCAUUGUUGGCAAUGUUGGUCUUGCUGUUGCAAAACUUCCAGAUUUCUCAUGCAGUAACUACCAAAAUCUUCCUUCCUCUAUCAAAAAUUCAUUAAAUUGUGCUCGCCACAUCUUAAGUAUCCACAUAGUCUCUCUUUGCCUUCUCAAGGAAGCUCUUGGAGAACGCUAUAGUCGAAUAAUCGAGAUUGCUUUGGCUGUUGAAGCUUCUUCAGCUGUUUCAGUAGCUUUUGCUCCUCCAAGGGGACAUCGCAGUCAAUUUCAAGUGUCCCCUGAGGCUCAUGAUAUAUAUGGGAACCAUUCAAGUGAGGUUUUGAAUAACUCGCAAAAGGGCUUUGGUGGAAGGGCUACAAAAGCUGCAGCAGCUGUGUCUGCACUUGUUGUGGGGGCUCUCAUUCAUGGGAUCAUUAGCCUGGAAAGGAUGAUUGUAGUUUUCAAGCUAAAGGAGGGCUUGGAUAUUUUGCAAUUUAUGAGGAAUGCUAGGUCCAGUUCUAAUGGUAUGUCUCGUUCUGUGGGCACUUUUAAGCCAGAAAAUUGCAUAGAAUUAUAUGUACAUUGGUUUAGGCUCCUAGUUGGGAAUUGCAGAACAGUACUUGAUGGAUUAGUUGGAGAGAUUCUGGGUGAAUCCUAUAUCCUUGCUCUUUCAAGAAUUCAGCGCAUGCUUCCACUGAGUUUGGUUUUCCCUCCUGCUUAUGCUAUAUUUGGAAUGGUCAUAUGGAGACCAUAUAUUCUUAAUAGCAAUGUUAUAAUGCGUGAAGAUAUCCCGGUUUAUCAGUAUCUAUCAUUGGCCAUUGGUGAAGCCAUUAGGCAUCAGCCUUUUCGCGAUGUCUGUUUUCGAAAUUCUUAUACCUUUUAUGACCUCCUAGCUAAUGACAUUGGUGAUUCUGAGUUUGCUGCGAUGCUUGAAUUGCAGAGUCCUGAUAAACAUUUGAAAACAAUGGCAUUUAUUCCUCUUCGUGCGAGGCUGUUUCUAAAUGCUCUCAUUGAUUGCAAAAUGCCGGCAUCCACAAUUAUGAAGGAAGAUGGGUCUUGGGUUUCAGAAUCUGGUGAGCUGAGAUCAAACACCGAAAGUGAGGCAAAGCUUUUGGAGCGACUUCUGCAAAUUUUGGAUACCUUGCAACCUGCAAAGUUUCAUUGGCAAUGGGUGGAAUUAAGACUUCUUUUGAAUGAACAAGCUCUUGUUGAAAAAAUAGAGACCCAGAACAUGUCAUUCGUAGAUGCAAUUAGAUCCCUAUCACCUAAUGCUGAAAAUUUUGCACUUACUGAAAGUGAAAAACGGUUCACUGAAAUUGUUCUGUCCAGAAUACUUGUUAGACCUGAUGCUGCGCCUCUUUACUCAGAAGUUGUUCACCUUAUUGGGAAGCUGCUUCAGGAGUCUCUGGUGAUGGAUACCAAAUGGUUUUUAGCUGGACAUGAUGUUCUUCUGGGUCGUAAAUCCAUUAGGCAGCAACUUCUAUUCGUAGCUCAAAGGAAGGGACUUCCUACAAAAGCUCAGUUUUGGAAACCAUGGGGUUGGUCUUCAUUGGGAGAAGCUGUAGCUAAUAGAGGUGAGAAGAGAAAGUUGGAAGCUAUCGCUAUUGAGGAAGGAGAAGUUGUGGAUGAAUGCAUCGAUCAUAAAAAGUUGGGCAAAAUGAACUCUCAAACGGUGGAUUCUGAAGGAGUCGGUUCUAUUUACCAGCAUAUAACUGAGAAAGCUUUUGCAGAACUAAUAUUGCCAUGUAUAGACAGGAGUUCUAGUGAACUGCGCAAUUUGUUUGCCACUGAGUUGAUCAAGCAGAUGGGCGUAAUCGAGCAACACAUUAGUACAAUAACCCGUAAUGGUAUGAAACAGGCUGGUGUGGCUUCUGUAGGAGUUGAAGGAACUUCUAACAAAGCCAAUAGUCGAAAAGGAAUGCGAGGUGGUGGAAGCCCUGUUUUAGGCCGGCGACCUACAGCAGUUAGUGAUUCUGUGCCGCCUUCUGCAGUGGCAUUAAGAGCAUCUCUCUCAUUGCGCUUGCAAUUUCUUAUAAGGUUGCUUCCAGUUAUUUUUGCAGACAGGUAAAUACUAAAAUCGUUAAAUUUUUUAGUAUCUUUUCAAGUAGGCUAAACCCUCCAUUUAACUACUACAAGUUGCACAACAUCCCCCUUGUUGACCAAAUACUACAGAAAAGCCCCUUCAUCUUUUUACCAUCAUCUCUUAACCCCCUUUCUUCACUCUUCCAUUAGUAAACUGUUUCUAAAUAUGAUAAAAUAAUUAUUUAAAUUCUGGAAUACCAAAGUGGCCCUUCUUAUUUCCUAAUCCUUCUUUCCCCUUUUCUUCUAUCUUCUCUUAUUUAUCUCAUUUAAUUUAUACCGGAUAUAGUCAUGUUCUACUAUUCAACAAGUGGCUGUUACUUUGGAAUGAAUAAAUAAAUACAAGAUUCUGCAUGCAUUCUACAUAUACGGUUGCUGAUCUGCUGUGUUCUGGUUGUUUUGAGCACUGACCAAUAAUAUCCUUCUGAACUGAACAUAACGACUUCGUUUUGAUGCUGCAGUUUAUGUUUGACAUUGUAAUUAGCUAGGUGGUAGCUGUGUUUAUACUUGUCACUUUUUUUUUGCAAGUCAAAUUACUGGAUUGGGUUCAGUUAAUUUGUCAGUUAAAGGUGUCUUAUCCCAAAAUGAGCUAUUAGCUUAUUGUCAUUUUCCUGAAUUUCUUGCUCUGUUACAUCACAGGGAACCAUCGGCACGGAACAUGAGGCAAGCGCUUGCCUCUAUCAUACUUCGUUUGCUUGGUUCUCGAGUUGUAUAUGAGGAUGCAGACCUCUCUCUUCCUCCUCCCAACCCAAGUGCAUUAAAAUGGGAUGCAGAGUCCUCCAUGGAUGCUUGUGUUACCUCUUUGUUUGAUCGUCCUGGCGAAAGCCUCUUCGAGAGGCUCUUGUCCAUCUUCCAUGCUUUGCUCAGUAGCUGCAAACCAAGCUGGCUGAAGCCCAAGUCUGCCCCCAAGUCAACCGUUAAAUCUCCCCGAGAUUUUCCUGCGUUUGAUCGUGAGGCAGCAGAGAGCAUACAGGUUAGUUCAAGUUGCAUGUGUUUUAUUUCCUAAAAUAAACAGGUACUAUUUUAAAAAUUUUUACUGUGGAAGCAUAGAAAUUUCUCAGCUUAAGUUGUUAGGAAGUGUGAGACAACCUACUAAGCUGAGUUGUUUCAUCUUAUUUAAGUCUUCAGUUAUUAGCUUGUCUCCUUUCUAUAUCGUCUUUCUUUUGUAGUCAAGCAUUCGAGUUAGCUCUUGAUUAUUAUGGGAAAGCAAUUCUCUGCAAAAAAAUGCAGACUAACUUGACUGUCGCAGUUUUUCUUGCCUAUUGUCAGAUCUUAUCGACCUAUAGUGUCAGGUGAUGUCUGUCAUCAGUUUGGUGUGAAUCUGCCUACAUGAGAUUUCUCCUCAUUUUGGGGUUGCUUGUUGUCGGCAAUUGAUAAUAAUUCACUAGUACUCGGACUGAGGUCUGAUUGUUACUUUGUGGCUGGGCAUCUGCGAAUUCACCAUUAUCUUCGACAAGAUUGUGUUCUUUAUGUUCCUUAAUGUGCUUUUUUGGUCUCUAUUUUAGUUAAAAAAAAUUGUUAUCUCUUAAAUUAAAUAAUCAGAUACCCUGUUCUUGUAAUAUGUGUGUUGUAUUCCAGCAUCAUCUUGCUACUUUCUGUUUUAUAUAUUGCUUUCAAGUUUCCAGCAUAUCCAGUACUCUUUCAGUUCAUCAGUUUUCUUUCAUAUUGACACCAUGGCUUCAUAGAUGCUGCAGUCUGACUUGGACCGCAUGGAGUUGCCACUGACAAUCAAACGGCGUAUCCAAUCCGCGAUGCCAUUCCUCCCACCUUCUCUUCCUUCGUCUAUUCCAUGCCACCCUCCUAUACUGCCCCCAUCAGCACUCUCACCGCUUCAGUCGACUAUGCUCGCUCCAGCGCCGCAACAAAGAACUGCGCAGGCGUCGCGGGUUCCAACCAACCUAUCGGGCCGAAGCAAGGCAUUGCCAUCCCUGGACCCAGACAUGGAAAUCGACCCGUGGACGCUGCUCGAAGACGGUACAGUUUCUGCUUCUACCUCUAGCAGUGGUGGUAACGGCAGCAUGGGGGGUGUCAGUGUGGAUCAUGCCAAUUUCAAAGCUUGUAGCUGGCUUAAGGGAGCCAUUAGGGUUAGAAGAACCGAUCUUACUUACACGGGAGCUCUCGAUGAUGAUAGCUGACCUUUGUACAUUCAUUUUGUUCAACAGAAGACAAGCGGCAAACUCAUUGAAUGGGCUUCUGUCAAAUGAGAGGCAUUUUUCGUCUCUUAUUGUGAUACAUGAGGGGGUUUUGUAUCGAGAAAAGGGUGCUGAGUUGGAUAAAACUAGCACCCUCGUGAAAACCCCCUUAUUUUGCCGCCAUGACCUACAUAAGCGCUGUUGUAUAUAGAAAACAUUUUUAUUGAUUCCUCGAUCGAGAUGAGUCGAGUUUCGGUGCGAGGAAUGGUUUGCAGCUCGGUAAGUUCCGGUCUUUUCAUCAGGAUGUACUACUAAAGGGAAGGAAAAUCUCCACGACUCUGAUGGGAAACAUAUGUUGCAUCAGCAAGAACAAUUCCGAAAAUGAUUUAAAUGAGUUUAGGGACUGACAAAAUUGUUGCUUCUCAAAGUGUAUUCUACAGUUUGCUGCUUACAGCUGCUCUUUGGCUCUCAUUUUGCCUCUUCUUACUCGAUUCGCUUGAGCUGCCACUAAGCUUCGCAUGCUGUUUCUAUAUUAUUUUCAAAUCCUUUAAAAGGUCAUUCCUUUUAGUGUUUAAUUCUUGCGCGAUUUUUUAUUGCCGCUGCUGCUUUCUCCUUUUUCUUUUUUUUCUAUUUUUCAUAACUGCAGAACUUAAUGUUUGAUAUAAUUUUAGUUGUCAACGUGUGUUACUUUCUUUUUGGUCCACAGACUUUCUUUAAUUUAUACGUAUAUGCUUCGGUGCUUCUAUUCUCUCUUGAGCUUAUUUUGAACCAUUUCUCAUCCGGCUUAUGUUUAUCAGGCUAUUUAUUUUUAUCAUUCUUUUCUAAUAUUCAUUUGAGUUUGUUACCGAACUAGCCAUUUUUUCUUUGAUGCAAUUGGGUAUUUAACUCAAGUUCCUUUUUUUUAUAUAUAAUGUGAAAUUUCUUUCUUUUUUUUUUUGUCUGCUCUCCUUGUAACUUCACCAAUUUUCAGAAGCACUUUUACCUUAUAUAUAGUAACAUUGCUGGAGCUCAGUGUAAGCUUUAAUUGACAAGUGGGAUCUUGCCUUUUCUUUUUGCAAUAGGUAGGGGAAAAAGGGUGGUUGUAUUUCGAUGGAAUAAAAAAAAAAAAAAAGAAGAAACAUUACAAACUGCGUUCAACUGGGUUGCUUUAACCUGAUACUCACUAAGCUAUUUUGCAAGUCUAGCACUAGCUUCUGUGAUUGUUUUAGUGCCUAUUUUUUUGGCAGUUCUAGGUUAGCCAUGAAGCUCAAGUGAAAUAAACAUUGUUUCUGAGAGCUAAUGAUAUCAUUGAUACAAAAUGUACAGUGAUUUCCUAGGUCAACAAAAUGUUCUCAUUCCUAUUGUUAGUUCACUCUGCGGCAGCUUCUGGUAAAGGAAGCUGGAGAAAAGCUAUCUGGGAACCUAGUAGUGUCCUCAGGGUUCACUUGUAUUUAUCCGUUUCUAGCGGAUUUAUCGGCGAAAAGAACAUCGUCGAUCCAUGAAACAAUGUUGAAUGCCAAACUCUCCAGCACCCUCGAAUAGCUCUCCAGGAUUGCUUGUCCAACAUCCUGCAAGAGAAUGAUUUAUAUCAUCGUAAAGUACGAAACUUACGCAAUGAUGGUCAGAUAAAAAACCACUCGUAAAUAGGCUAAUAUCGCAAAAGUGAAUGUCAUAGUAUCUACGGAGGCAUUUUCCUGCAAUUCAGCUUUAUAGAGCUGUUUCAUUCAGUGCUGCAAUUAUCUCAUUAUAUUUUGCGCCCUUAUUACAUGCUUACCUUAUUGUACUGGAUUUUGCUUGUAUCUAAGGUGGUCUGCGACAGGCCGGGAAAUCUCUGCUUCAAGCACAGCAAGAGACUCUCGGCUCUGCUCGCCAGCACUACGUUCUUAUCACCGUCGACCACCAGUUCCUUCACCACAUUCCACGAGGACUUUGAAUGGGCCAUGCUCGCUUUGCGGCGCCAAACAUGCAUUGCGGCCUCCACACGGUCGGCCAUCUCAAGUGCUUGGUGCUCCGACGAUAUGUCGAGGCAGUCGAGAAGGUAAUCCGGCGAGAACCGGUCCAGAGUCGACAUGUAGCGAUAUAUUGAGUCUCCUACGCUUAACCGGCCGCUCUGAACAGUGAAAGAAAGCAGAUCUUUCAGACCAGGAGCAAGCAUAGAAACUGUUAUGUUUGAUCAUUAACUCUGACCUUCCUUGCUACAACUACAGAUAUAUGAUUUUGCAAGGACUUAACAGCAGAACACUAUAAUAAUACCGAGUCGAUUCCUAGUGUUCGGAAUCAUAUGGUGGUAGAAUUGCCUCACCUUUGGAAGUGGUGCUAGAUAUGAUUCUGGGACCUCCAUUUCAGCAAGGACGGUGCUGUUUAUCGCCACCGCCGCUUUAUGGAUCUGAUUCGCGCAAUCCCGCCUCUUUUGCAGCUCUUUCCUCCCCUUCUCUUGGAGGCCAGAAUCAGGAACACACGGCACGGGGAGCCACCACUUCUCUUCGUUCCGGUGGCUUAGUUUCCGGAACGACUGCGAGGCGGAGUUAAAUGAUUGCUUUCCUUCAUCAACAUACCAGAACUCCGGUUUCCUGAAACUGUCCAGUAUAUCCUGCAGCAAUUUCGGUUCUGAAUCACUAACUAUGUUUGGCUAAUUUGCAAUUUUAAUCGCCUCGAUGAUCAAAACCUAUACAUAAUCUUCCAGAUUUGCAGCCCCUUUCUUAGGGGGAGGGGGGAUAAAGUGCAGAAAUUUCUAAUAAAUCAAGAGGUGGUUUUCAAAAGCUUUGAUCUUCGAGUUCUUGAAACAUAUGCAGACUUACAAUCAGCAUUGCAUCUAGCUUUUCCAGCGCGGGCAGAUUUACGUAAAUAUCCGAUCUUGGUCUUGUCGUCAUCACCUGAAAUACAAAGUAGAGAAGGUAUUUAGGGGGUGGAGACAAGGAAAUUUAGUCAACAAUGAAAUUGCCUAACAAGUAAUUAGUAGAAACUAUGGUCUCCUAAUUGUUGUUCCUCACCUCUACAGUAGAUCCAUCGGGCAAUUUUUGCGAAGAGGGGUAGAAUUCGACUAUGUAGUCGCAAACUGAGAGGAGGCAAUCCAUCUCUCUCCUCCACAUCGACUUCUUCUCUCGCGAAAGAGGUCCCAAUUUGCGGCAAGUCCCGAACACCGUCGCUGAAUUUAAACAGAAAAAGAAGAUCAGAAAAGAAGUGAGGUUAAGAUACUGAUCAGCUUAAAUCAAAGAUCAGUAAGUCACUAUAUAUGAUCUUCUUUUUUUUUUUCUUUCUUUUUGUGUGUGUGUGUGUUGAAAAUUUGCAUGCAAGAGUUUUGUCGAACUCGUGGAUUUGGUAUAAAAAGAGAUUUUAAUGUUGAAUUCUUUACCAUAGAGGUUUGUGAUGGCAUUUGAGAUGGCCACAGCAGUGCAGACACCCUUGCCAGUCCCUGACAUGUCUUCUCCCAGCAAAAGCUUUGAGAAUUUCUCCCUUAUGAGUUCCAACUCUGCCAAUUUGCCGAUCAUCAGAAUAAGCGCCAAUUUCGAUUCUUAAAGCUAUGAAAAACGGCGGAACAAGCGUAAUAUUGGCCAUACCAUCUUCAGUCGGUCUUCGUUUCAGCACGUCAGCUCGCUGCUUCAUGCUAAGCCUGCUCAGAACAGGCAAAGGCCGGUCGACCAGUUUGGCGAUCGGCCAUCCUCUGCUGCGCAUUUCGAAGGGGCCACUGUGCUCUUCGCUGCGCUCGGAGAAGGAUGAGACGUCGGAGAUUGUGCGGCUGUAGUCGAUCGAAUCGACACCCAGGGUGGAGCACCCAGUCUCUUCCGAAUUCUCGUCGCAGACUGACGAGCUUUCCAUUUUUUGUUUUUCUUUCUUUCUUCUUCACUUAAACCUGCAGAAGAUUCAUACAAAGUUUGAAUGAUGAAUGACAAAAAAUAUCAUGUGGUCUUUGCAUUUUUCACACAAGUUGAUUACUUGAUCCUAAUAGGAAUCAUGAAACAUGUUACCUAAAAGAGUAUAUCAACAUGUCCUUCAAAGCUCAUGUGAUUUCUCUUCUGAUUAAGUUGUUGAGCAUCUGAUGGUGUGCAAUGUGAAAUAGGCUAACAAAUUUGUAGUCUACAAAGUUGAUCUUAUAUAGAUAAAAAAAAAAAUCUAUUCCUUAAGAUAAGGUAUAAUUUUAGACACACUUUGAGCCACUUCAAAUUUUAUAAACAACAUGUGGUGGAGAAAUUCAUUUACUUUAUACUUUUUUUUUGUCACUUGCUAUAGCAUGCUCUACAUUUCUUUAGAUGCAGAUACAAAAAGUUGAAUAAUAACUGCUGCUGCUGCUGCUGCUGCUUUUUGCAGAAAAAAGGCAUCAUUUUUUUUUUAUUUUCCCAAUGCAUUGAAAGAAGAAGCAAGCAUGGCAUUCAAAUGAACUCACCUUUAUGUGAUUACUUUGUAUUCUUCUCCCCCUCCCCCUUAAGCUUUGCAAUCAUCUUCUUUCUCUCUCUCUCUCUCUCUAGAAAAAUAUGAAAUGGGUCUCUUUUUGAACAAGAGAAGAGUUGCUAAACUAAGAACCUCUUAUGCAAAAGCACUAAUUAGGAAUGAACCCCCCCAAAAAAACAGAAAAAAAAUAAAAAUGAAAAGAAAGGUGUGUAUAUAUUUCACCCUUGAAGAGCUCUAAGGACACCUCACUAAUAUCAUUUUUAAUAGAAUGGGAAGAAUGUUACAAUUUUUUCUUUGAUGAUAGUGGAAUGGUUAGGGGUUUUGGACCAACAGGAUGAAAGGCUUAGAUGUACAAAGUGUUCUAUAUGAUGAUGAGAAGGCAUUUAUUGCUUAGAAGAGAGAGAGAGAGAGUCAUAGAGGCUUCAUUUAUUUAUUAAUUAAUUAAGACAAAAUGUAUGGCCCCCUAAAUUUUUUUAGUUAAAUUGAGAAUUUUAUUAAAUUUAUCGAUAAUUCUGUCAAAUUUAAUGACUUUAUUUAAGCUAAAAAACUCAAAUAACAAAAUUAGAAAUUGAGAACAAAAUCAAUCAACGAAAAUAAAGUCGAGGGGCUUGUUUCAGAAUAGUCUAUUGUUGCGCGUCCUUUACCUUAAUUUAAAAAUGCAUCGUUCACCUUUUUUUAGCCCGGGAUAAAGUUGCUUAACAAAUACGUUAAAUCAUGUACUGUACUAUUGCAUAAUAAUAUCGACACUUUAGCUGAUGAGCUUGAAAAAUGCUAUUAUCUAUUCUUAUCGAGGGCACAUAGUGAUCAUAUUUGAUGAAUCUAUUUAUUUAUAGCAUCACACCUUGAUAUAAAUGAUGUUUUACCUAAGUCAUUUGAUAAUUAAACACUUAUAAUUUUUUUAAAAAAAAUCUUUCUUGGGGCUAAAUUGAAAUUUUUUACUAACAAACAAGAUCAUGUCCUAAUAACCAAUAUAAAAUUAGUGUGCUUUUCUUUUUUCUUUCUUUUUUUUUUUUUUGGAGAGGAAGCAAAAUUAGUGUACUAUACAUGCACAACAGUUUUAGGUUGUCACAAUAUGUACCUCUUUUAGGGUCCAACCAUUUAUUAUUUUAUGGAGAAACUUUAGCUGAGGAGUUGUGAGCACAUUGUGGUUCCCAUGAUCUCUUAGCUCUAAUAUUUCUUUUUGUGGAAACAUGAGUUGGUAUAGAGUUAUGGGCACGUAAUGGCAAUGUAAGGACAAUGUGGAAACUCAACCACACACAUGAUGUUAUUGAAAAAUAAAUAAAUAAAUAAAUAAAUAAAUAAUAGGAUAAAAUAUCCUCACGUGGUUUCACACUUUCUCACUUUAGUACCCUAUAGUUUAAAAUAUAUCAAGUUAGCCUCUGUGUUUUCGCACUUUCUCACUUUAGUACCCUAUGGUUUAAAGUGUAUCAACUAUCAAGUUAGUAUCAUGUGGUUUUAUUUUCCUCUUUUUAUUGUCAAUUUUACUAAUUUUUUUCGUUAAAUCAGUGACAAAGUUAAAAUUAAAGGGCACUAAAGUGAAUAUUCGAUAAACCUAAAUAAGGUAUCUGAAGUUUUUUGUAUAUAACUUAACGAAAUAAUGGAGGAAAAAAAAAUUAGUGACAAAGUUAAAACUAAAGAGUAUUAAAGUAAAUAUUCGAUAAACCUGUGUAGGGUAUCUGAAGUUUUUUGUAUAUAAUUUAACGAAAUAUUAACAGGGGAGCCGACGAAAAGAACAAAAUGAAACCACAGGGUACUAAAUUGAUGCACUUUAAACCAGAGGGUACUAAAGUGAGAAAGUGUAAAACCACAUGGUACUAAAUUGAUACACUUUAAACCACAUGGUGCUAAAGUUAAAAAAGUGCGAAACCACAGAGGUGAUUUGAAGUUUUCUCUAAAUAAUAAUAUGGAGACCUUCUUUAAUAUCGAAAUAGAACAUUCUGAAAUAGCUCACUCAAUAUAUACUAAUUUUUAUGGGGGCUUCCUUAAAUUUUGCAACAAAAAGUUUAACUUAAUUAACUACAAAAGCUCAAUUUUAAAAAAAUUUUUUAAAAGUUGAAGGAGUAGCUAGCUUCUAUAUAAUUAAUACGUGACCAAUCUUAUAUUCUUUAGGGUAGAAAUUAUCUUUAAUAUUGGUGCAGGUGGGAACCAUAAAUAUGUAAUUAAUUACAUCCAAUCAAAAAGAAACUUUGACCAAACUAUGCUUCAGACCUUCUAUUUUAUUUAUUUUAUUGUUUUAUUAUUUUUUACAGAAACAGUUAUUUUAGAGCUUUUAUGAGCAGAGAUUGUAUUACUUAAAUCAAAUUGAUUGAUAUGCAUCAAUUCAAAUCGAUUUAAAGCGAAUUCAACCAAAUCUAAAUUGACCAAAAUCGAAAGUGGCUCAAACCAAUUAAACUGAACUUGAACUGGAUCAAACCCACCGAAUUACGAUCGACAAAUCCAUUGAAUAUCUGGAGAAAGAUCAUGAAGGUUUCCAAAUGUACAAAGUUUGGUGCUCAAAUACGAAAAUUAUACAAGGGAACAUAAGUGCAUUAUGGAUAUCUAUAAACCGUUAUGUGAUCAAGUUUUUUAUUUUUUUUUUUCUAGUUUGAAAUGAGUUGACAAUUUUUUUUUUUUUUUGAAAACUAAAGUGAGUUGACAUUGGCAUUCCUAUUUUCCAACACACUGUGCACAAGCAAUUUUUUUUCUUUGUCUCGAGUUGAAUUUAAUGUGAAAUCAAAAAGUCAAUGGCUUUUUUUUGAGAGUUUUUGUUUGAUUAUAAAGAAACAAAUUUCACAUUCUCAAAUAGAAGAUUUGGAGAGCACUCCCAGAUCAAUUUUUGUCCCAACUUAUAAAGCAAAAAGGUGUAACACUAAUUUCAGAUAAUUGAAUGCACAUGUGGUUAAGAUUAUUUUUCUUUUGUUUUUAUGAUCACUCUUUUACUUCAAAUACAUAUAGAACAACUUAGUUACUUAGGUACGAUUUUAACCAUUAUAUUGAUGUAUUCGUACGCUUAAAUGUUUAAUAUUAUUGCUAAUCCAACAAACCAUUUGCUCCAAUUAUUUCAUCAGUGAGUACCCUUUUUCUUAUUUUUCCCAUGUACAUCACCUGAGAAAUCAAUUAUGAUGGUGAAACAUAUCUAAUCCUAAUUAGCCUUUCUUCUUUUUUUUUUUUUGGGAGGGAAUACACGCCCUGGGGCGAUGCGAUUCAAUUAAUCGAGUCGUACAGGUUGAAAGAACUUAUCUACAGAAGACAAAAAAAAAAAAAAAAAAAAAAUUUUGCUGGUGAGUCCCCAAUUGGCCAAGCGUUCCGCGAUUAUAGCAUUUUUAGAACAUCUCGAAGUCCAUCCAAAGUUGAAUUACUUGAAUUUUUUUUGUCCGAGCUUCAGCUGUUAGCGUAUAUGAAUAAUAGCUCUCAAGGUGCAAAACUUUGACGAUGGACGCUGAAUCUAAGAAAAUAUGAAGAUUUUCUUUAGGAUACAUUUGCAGUAAAAGUUCUAUCACUCGGGAGAUUACUCCAAUUUCCACAUAGCCAGCAUCGUGGGCAUUAUGUAUUGCGUCCGAUAUGUAUGUAAUGGCUCCAAUUAGUUGAAGAGACCGAUAUGUACGCAAAUCAAUAAUUAAAAAAAAUUAAUCCAAAUCGGAUUUCGGAUUUUGGGUUGGGUUCGGACACAUCUAAGGCACACCCAAAUAUAUUCAUAGGCCAAAAUUUCUUCGGGUCGGGCUUGGGCUUUCGGUGGCCCAAACCCGAUUACAACCCAAAUUAAGGCCCAUAUAUGUAGCUCAGUUUUGUAACAGCAAAUAUGUUUGUUGCCUAUACUUAACCACUCUAUAGUAUCAUGCAGGUUAACAACAAUAAUAACAAUAAUGAUAAUAAUAACAAGACGUUUUAAACAAAGAGUAAUAUUGAAUCUGGAGAUGGAAUCGAAGGUGACGAGGAUGAUAAAGAUAAGGAGCUGCGACGGCGCGGUGCUCGACGUGCCGGAGGAGGUGGCGGUGCAGUCGAGGUUGAUAAGGCACGCCGUCGAGGACGUCGGAACCGAACACCCGAUCCCAUUGCCGUUCUGUCAGGGCCCUUUUUAGUUGUCAACGGCCCUGACCUUGACAGUUCGUCACGGCGGAGACCCUAAACCUCGCCUUCGAGUACUGCACGAAGCACGCCGACUUCGCCGCCGCUGCGGCCAUCCCUGCAGCCGACGAUGAGAAGAAGAAAGCCGCGGAGACAGAGAUCAAGGACUGGACAAGCAGUUUUGUCAACGCGCUCUCGAUGGACGUGCUCUACGAUCUCGUCCACGUUCGUGCUUCUAUUUUUCAUGAUUACAUGCAAUAUAUUUUAUCUUAUCUGCAAUAUAAUUUAUUUUAUUAAAAAAAAUCAAGUUUCAUAAUUUUUUUUUUGUUUGAUUUUUUUUUUUUUUUUUUUGUUUCAGGGGUCGAAUUACUUGGCAAUUGAAGAAUUGAUGGAUUUGUGUUGUGAGAGAGUUGCCGGCAUGAUAAGAAGGAAAAGCGCAGAAGAAGUGCGUGCAACCUUCGACAUCAUGAACGAUUUUCCGCCAAACGGAGAAGACUAGUCACAAAUUUGUGAGAAGUUGUAGUUCAAAAUUAAAGACCAGCUUAGUAAAUAUAGUAGUAAUUUUCUUUCCUUUCUUUCUUUUUCUUUUUUUUUUUUUUUUGUUUGCAGAGGAAGUGCAAUUUUAGGAGGGCUUUUUUUUUGGCAAUUGAAGAAUUGAUGGAUUUGUGUUGUGAGAGAGUUGCCGGCAUGAUAAGAAGGAAAAGCGCAGAAGAAGUGCGUGCAACCUUCGACAUCAUGAACGAUUUUCCGCUGGACGGAGAAGACUAGUCACAAAUUUGUGAGAAGUUGUAGUUCAAAAUUGAAGACCAGCUUAGUAAAUAUAGUAGUAAUUUUCUUUCUUUUCUUUCUUUUUUUUAUUUUUUUUUGUUUGUUUGCAGAGGAAGUGCAAUUUUAGGAGGGCUUUUUUUUUGUAAAUUUAUAUUUGAUUCGAUUUUUCAGAUAAUGAAUAUAGUUAUAGUUAUUAUAGUUAUAAAAGUUUACUCAUUAACUAUUACGGAAAGAAUUUUUGAACAACUGAAAAUAUGAUAAUUUUGAAAAUAUGAGAUUCAGAAUAACUGGGACGAGGAACCUAAUAAGAAUUAGCUUUGAUUUGCAAUUUAAAAAGGUCAAAUUUAUUAUGCAUUAUCUUUCAAUUGUAUUUAUCUUUAACUGUGAUAGAUAAGAAUUAGAUUACUUAAGAAUUCUCUUUGAUCGAAAAUAAAAUAAAAUAGUUGAUAUAGAAUUCAGAUAUAAAUGCCACAUUCCUUUUUUUGAUUAAACAGGGAUAUGAACGCCACAUUCUAAUAAACAAGAUUUCUAUGCUUCUCGUAUCGAGAAUUAAUAAUUUCAGUUAUAAAAAUCCUAUAGACAAAGUAGAAUCUUAAGAAAAUCUUAAUAAGAAAACGAAAAUAUACUUUGAAUAUAUAAAAUUGAGCUCCUGUAUUUUUAAAAGUACUAAGUCAGAUUAUAUAAUAUAAUCUAACAGAUAGAAAUGGUCAGAUUAUAUAAUAUAAUCUAACAGAUAGAAAUGUAGAUCUAACGAUCGAAAACUUAUAAAUACAAAGGAAUACGAACUCUAUAUUAUUAAUAAUAUAAGUGCUUGGUGCUAUUAGAUUGGAUUAAGAUUCUUGAAUAAAGAUAUGUAUGAUUAGGAUGAUAAUGAUCCCUGUUAGAAUGAUAGUGAUCUUCUAGGAUAGAGUGAAUAAUUGGUUGAAUAGUAUAAUUUAACGGGUGCAAAUGGUUAAAGGAUAGAUUUAACUGGUGAAAUUGGUUGAAUAGUAUAAUCUAAUGAAUAAAAAUGAAUAAUUUGUUGAAUAGUAUAAUUUAACGGGUGAAAAUGGUUACAGGGUAGAUUUAAUCGCGGGAAACUUUGUGAUUUAUUGAUAUUUUUCUAUAUUAAUUUUAAACAUGUUUAUAAACCAAAUAAAAUCUCCACAUGAAAACAAAAUAAAAAGUGAUUUCUAAAAUUUUAUCUUUAACAAAAGAAAGGUCUUUUACUUAUAUAUCUCUUACUACUAUUAAAAUUUGCAAAAUACUCUUUGAAAAUUUCAAUUUUACUAGCGAUGGUCUAUUUGAACAUUUUUAAAAUGAACAAGAGUAUUCUAUCAUAUUUUUAAAAUUUUUAAAGAUAUGAUAACUGUUAUUCUUGAAAAAAGAGAAAAAAUCAUCCUUGACUUGCACCUUAAAUUUGUCCUCAAUUUUUUUUUUUUCAUUUGGUCCUCUCAAAAAAAAUUAUUUUAAAAAUAACUCCAACAAAUUUAUAUUUAUAAAAAUGGCCUUAGUCUUGCUACGCAGGGGCCACGUCAGUGAGGCGAGGGCCAGCCUGUUAAGUUGAAUACGGUGAAUCAUUUACUGUGCCGUGUUUGAGGAUUGUGAAAAAUUAUAAGUAUUGAAAAGAAGAAAGGAGGAGAAUAUACGUAUAAAAUACGGUUUGAACACGGUGAAUGAUUCACCGUAUUCAACUUAACACCAUGUCUUUAAUGUGGCGCCUACGUAGCAAUAAUAAGAUUAAAUUUGUAAUUAUAAAUUUGAUGGGACUAUUUGUUUAAAAAGAAAAAAAAAAAGAAAAAAAAGCCCUUUUAUAAAUUGGGUAGAGAUUUACCCCCAUGUAAAAAUAAAAAAAAAAAAAAAUCCUCGCCAUCGCAACGCCUCAUCGUUUUCGUCCGCACUAUUUUCAUUCUUUCUCGCCAAACACGUGAGUUAUCCUCCAACGUCCCCUUCGUACUCCCACCCCCAUACCCACUCUCCUCCUCCUCCGACGACGAAACCCUAGAAAUCCUCGUCUCCGAGCUCUCGAAUUGGGGCCUUGAACAUGGCAACGUCGGUGAGAGCGCCUACGUCGUCGCCUUCCUCUUCCCCCAGCUCCCUCCAGCUUCGGUUCGCUCGCAGGAUUAGGGCUUCUCCCUCCUCCGUUAUCCUCAAGAUCCGCGCCUCCGAUCGCCGGAUUCGCCUCGUGUUCGCAUGCGGAGAGGCCGAUAGAGGCCGGGGCGAAUAUCGCUCUUGGAGCAAAUCGGCGGGUGGAUCGCCGGAUUCGUUCGCGGGGUGGUCGGGCUCCGAGAGCGGCGGCGGGGGCGACUCGAAGAAGAGCGGUGGGUUUGGAGGUGAGGACGAGGCCUUCUUCUUCUUCUUCGGGUUGCCAUGGUCUUUGUUUCGUAUUAUAUCAUUUUGCCAAGAGAUCGUUCUAACGUGUUACUUCGAAGCAACGGUGAUGAUGAAGAUUCUUUUUUGAUCCCGUAGAAAAUGUUUUAGAUAUUUAUAUAUUUGUAGUUUAUGUUUAUGCAGGAGUCGUGAGUGCAUUUGGUAAAAUUAGUGUACUUUUGCCAUAAUUAAUGUUCAAGAAGAUAUGAUAGAUUAAAGGAACCACAUGAAAGAAUCGAAAGAAAAGAAUAUUUGACAUUUUUGGUUAUUGUACAUAAAGACCUUGUCGAAUUUUGAGAUUAAUGUAAGAAAAAUAUAUAUUUGUUCUGAAACUGUUUUAUGACCUGCAUGUAUUUGGAACUUCUAACGUGAAAGCAAGCAUGGAUUGAACUUUGAUCAAGUUAUUCUCGCUUAAACUCUUAAUUACUAUGUCAAAUUAUUUUUCAUAAUUUAUAAACCUCUCGACAAGGUAAGUUAGUGGUAUGUUCUUUGCAAGCAGAUGAUUGCGUCUUUGAUGGAACUCUCUGUGGUUCUUUCUGGUUAUUUAGAAGAGUCUAGAAACCCAUGUAAGCAGCUAGAUGCAGUUAGAGUUCAGUUCUUUUGGAGUACUAAUGACACUUCGAUAGUAGUUCACUUUCAGGGGCUCUUGGAGCAGGACUUGCUGGAGUCUUUUUUGCAGCUGGAGUUACGUUCGCUGCCUUGUCUCUCAAGGGGAGAAGUACUUCUGGUAUAAAGCUUUCUUCAUUUUCAUGUUUUUGAAUGCUGUAUAAUUUCGUUUGUUCUAAUGGACCAAACUUCCUGAAAGGUUUAGCUAAGUACCUUAUGCUUUUAACGCAAUUUAACUGCUUUAAGAGAGUCUCGCAUAAUGGUAGCAUCUCUUUUUCAAUGUAAUUUCAUGUCAAAGGGGUGUAGCAACAAAAUCCUGUUGACUCAUCUAAUCUGUUGUUGAAUAUGCUUUGGUUAUUCCAUUUAUGCAGGUGUCAAACAACAAAUGGAACCUUUAAGCAAUGAGCAAUCAGUCUUAAUUAAUAAUGAUGAUAACCCGAAAGUUGAUGAGGUCGGGAAUGCCUCUAAUGAUGUGCUGCAAAACAGUAACAGCACGACACUCAACAGCUGGUCGGAGAAUGAGACAGGUAUAGACAGGGACCUUUCUGUAGAAAAUAUUGAAGAUUCUAAUGAAACCAUAUCUAAUAGUAUAGACAAUUCGGAGGCUUGUUCGAUAAGUAACACUAAACCAGAUAGUGAUGAUGUUGAUGCUGUAAAUGCCGAUCAAUAUGACCAGAAUGUAACCUCCGAUGCUAAUGAUGUGCCAAGUUCCUUCUCGCCCGAAUUUCCUGCCCAUGCCAUUGACCUUUCAUCUGAUAUACCUAGUUUGAAGGAUUCUGUCAGCAAUGAACCUUCUGGUUCUUUUGGCCCAUCUAUUGUCGAUGAUGUCACCCUGGUUACAGACACUCAUUAUGAUUCCUCAUCACUUACCAAUCAUGUUAGUGGUCAUCAGGUGGGAGGUAUAAAUCUGGCAGAAAUAUUUGAAGUUGAUGAUCGAUCAACUACCUUUAGUGGGUUGGAGAAUGAGAAUUCAGUUGAUACACUGAAAUCCAAUAUAUCGAGUUUAGAAUCUGAUGAUGUUGUAGACACCCUGGUCAAGUUAGAAAAUGUUGUUGAUGUUGCAACAUUUGUGUCAAAGGAUCAAGAUGUUGAACAGCCUGAGAUGCUGGAGCUUCCCACUAGUGGUUUCUCUCGUGGUAUAUAUGAAGAAAGUGAAACUUUUCCAGCUGGAAUUGUUAAUAGUUCAGAUUUUGAUGUAGGUGAGGACCCAUGUAAUUCAAUUAAUCCACAUCCCAGUGGGCGCUCAGUAAAUGAAACUGUGGUAACUGUAGGGCAUCCUGUUUCAAUUACUAAAGAAAUAAGUGAAAAUGUGCUAAAAAUUGAAAGUCAACUUGAUAAAAGCCAAUUGUUUGAGUCGCUAGCGGCUGAGAAAUCUUUCUCCCGUGCUGGCAUCCCUGCUCCUGCUCCACUCUCUGCAGCUUUACAGGUGCCUCCUGGAAAAGUUUUGAUUCCUGCUGCAGUUGACCAGGUUCAGGAGCAUGCAUUGGCAGCAUUGCAAGUUUUGAAGGUACUUUCAUGCACAUCAUGUACAGUACAUCUGAAUAGCUUUAUUUGAUUUGCAUCUCUAUCAUAUUCUUCCUAAAAAUUUCUUCAGAAUGAAGUUGUGAUGUAUGCUAUCAUUGCAGUUUCUUAUUUCUCUCGAGUUAAUGGAAGUGGAUUCCUUUCGUGGGGUGGGGGUUUUUGGGGGUGGGGGGGAUAAUUUUAGAAGGUUCUAAAGGGUGAAGGGUGAGGGGGGCAUCAUUCUGGUCUUAGCAUACAGCCGUCUAUGGGUUUUCUGGGUAAAGAUUUUUUUUUCUUUUACUUUUUUGAAAUUCUCUAUGAUUGUAUUGGGCCUUAAUCUUGUGUUAGAAAAGAAGUAGAUCUCAUCUUACUGUUUGUGUCUACCCACAUAACUCGAUAAAUUAGAAAGCUGAACAUAUUUCUUGUUAAUUUUGUCAUUCUAGGUUAUUGAAGCAGAUGCUCGGCCUGUUGAUUUAUGUACUCGUCGUGAGUAUGCACGUUGGUUGGUAUCUGGCAGCAGUGCACUUUCGAGGUACAUUUUUUCUCCAAAUUAUUCAUUUAGAAACUGAACCAUACUAGUAUUGGUGGUAUACUGCAGUGUGAUGCGCCAUGUUUCACUUACUAAAGUUUGUCAAUUGGCUGUUAAUUUUUUUGCUCUUUAAUGAUUUAAGAAUUUCUGUGUUCAAACUGUUCACGACUCACAGAGUUUUAAAAUCUAAUUUGUUUAUUGGACUCAUCUAUCUGGAAAAGUUUUUCUUUUUCUAGACAACAAAAUUGAAUGAAGAUGAUUCGUUUGAGCAAGUUUGUGGAAAAAAGAAAUGAAGUGAUUACCGAAAAGUGUCCAUUCAUACAAUCAGGAACCAGAUUUUUCGUACACUCAACUAAUUUCAAGGAAUUCGUUAUGUCUGGACAAUAUUUUUUGAGAGCUGGACUAGCUAGCUUCUUGCAAUAUUUUAUGUGUUCCUACUUCCUGCGAUUGUAGCAAUUGAUUGUUUGGUCAUUUGAAGUACUAGCUUUAUGGAUUCUUACUUAGGAACACAACUUCGAAAGUGUAUCCAGCAAUGUAUAUAGAGAAUUUGACGGAACUUGCAUUUGAUGAUGUCACUCCUGAAGACCCCGAUUUCCCCUACAUUCAAGGUUUGAUGUUGCAUUUCAUUCUUAACUGCCUAGUUAGGCACCUUAGUUCCUACAAGAUUGCUACAAAGUGAUUUAAUUGCAAAUUCUUUUAUGCGAUGUCUUAUUGUGUAAUUGCACAAAAUAGGUUUGGCAGAAGCUGGUCUGAUUUCUAGUAAACUUUCAAGAUCUGUUAUAGAGAGCUCUGCUGAUGGGCAGCAAGAUUCUUUUCUUUUCUGUCCUGAAAGGUAAACAUUGUCCCCAUCAGUUGGAUGUUUCCUUUUUUUCUUUUUCUGAUAAUUGCUGUCCCAAAUCAUGCAUUUGCAGCCCUCUAUCACGUCAAGAUCUUGUGAGUUGGAAGAUGGCUUUAGAUAAAAGCAAACUGCCAGAAGUCGAUAGAAAUGUAAGGAAAACAUUGCUAAUAUGUUUUAUUUCUCUUCUUGUUUCGUGUCGAAAUAUUUGUAUUAACUUCAUAUAUAUGAUGCCUUUUCUUGAUUAGACUCUGUACCAGUCUACUGGCUAUAUAGAUAUUGAUAAAAUAAACCCAGAUGCUUGGCCUGCUUUGGUUGCUGACUUGUCUGCUGGAGAACAGAGUAUUACAGCUCUUGCAUUCGGUAAGAUUUUUUAUUUUUUAUUUUUUUUUUGGGUUUACCUCUUUCAAAUUAUGGUAAUGACUCUCCCCAUUGUUUAUGUUUUCCUUUUUUUUCCUUUUGUUUCCUCAUAUUCUGUGCAGUUGGAGGUGCCUAGAAAUUGAUUUCACUUUUGCCAUUGUUUCUUGGUUGGCAGAAGUCAUCUUUCUAGACACAUGAAGAAGCAUGAAAAAAAGCUAUUAGUGAAUUGUCGUUGUCUGUUGCCAAACCAACCCAUGAAUGUUGAGUUUGCUAGCAAUCUGCAAAGCAAAUUUAAGUAAUGUCAUCCUUAGGUGCCUUUACUCACAUAAAAUUUGAGAGAAAUAAACAAAAGGCAGUAAAAUACCAAACGUGCACGUAAGUACUAAGUGAUGUAAUCACUAUUACUUUUGGUUGUAGGUUAUACUAGACUUUUCCAACCAGACAAGCCCGUCACGAAAGCACAGGCUGCUGUUGCACUUUCGACUGGCGAUGCUUCUGAGGUUGUGAGUGAGGAACUUGCUCGUAUUGAAGCUGAGAAAUUGGCAGAGACUGCUGUGAAUGCACAUACUGCUCUAGUAGCCCAAGUUGAGAAAGACCUUAAUGCAAGCUUUGAGAAAGAGCUUUUGAAGGAAAGAGAGAAGAUAGAGGCAUUAGAAAAACUCGCCGAAGAAGCCAGGAUUGAAUUGGAAAAAUUAAGGAGGGAAAGAGAGGAGGAAAACAAUGCUCUCAUUAAGGGGCGAGCUGCAGUAGAAUCUGAAAUGGAAGUCCUUUCGAGGCUAAGGCAUGAGGUAGAGGAGCAAUUGCAGAGCCUCAUGAGCGAUAAAGCAGAGAUAUCCUUUGAAAGGGAGAGGAUUAAUAAGUUACGGAAAGAAGCAGAGAAUGAGAACCAAGUCAUUGUGCAGUUACAAUAUGAGCUUGAGGUUGAGAGGAAAGCCUUGUCCAUGGCCAGGUAAAGAUUUCAUCUACUGUGAAUUAUAUACAGUUCUCAAAUUUGUGUAUGUCUAUUAUUGCUUAUUCUGCUUGUUUGCUAGCAUGCUUGGAAUAUUCUCUUUCUUCAACAUUGAUGGCAUUCAGGCUGGUAUUGUAAAACUGUAUAUGGCUAAGCAAUAUAUGAUACAUAACAUAACGCUUGUAACUUCAUAAGCCGUUUAAUUACUUAUACAUGGACAAUUACAAUUCCAGGAUAGUUGAGCAUUAUAAUGCUCAACUCAGAUAACAUAUAGCGAUUUCUAGAGAACACGAAGCAAAUGUGUGUACAUUGGUUUUAUCUGUCCUUGACGUGUUCAUUAGGUAUGACUGUAUGAGCAACUAGAUACUUUUGUGUUGCCCAAGUACUUACCUAGUCUGCGGAACUAUUGGGCGUGGCCACGAAUUUGUAUUGUAAGUUUAUGAUAGCAAUUCCUCAAUUAUGUAACUUUUAGUAGUCUUUUCUUCCUCAGAUUAUUGUUUUAUUGUAAUAAAUGGCAAAAGGUAUUUUCUCACUAAAAAUGUAUGUAGGUAUUAUUGAGAAAAAACACUAUGACUAUAAGAGUAGUUUUGAAUCACCAGGGCUUGGGCAGAAGAGGAAGCGAAAAGAGCCAGGGAGCAGGCUAGAGCCCUCGAGGAGGCGAGAGACAGCUGGGAGCGCCAAGGCAUUAAAGUAGUUAUUGAUGAAGAUCUCCAAGAUGCUGCUUCCUCGGGUGUCACAUGGGUCACUGCUGGCAAGGAGACUCAAGUCGAGGAGACAGUCAAUAGAGCAGAGUCCCUAGUAGAAAAGCUCAAGGCAAUGGCUGCUGAGAUCAAACUUAGAUCCUCGGCUGUUAUUGAAAAGAUAAUUCAAAAGAUUGUAUCCUUAAUCUCAACUUUGAAGAAGCGGGCAGCCGAGACACUGGAGCACUCUUCAGAGGUCUGGAGUGAUACGAUUGCGAAGGCAAGAAAAUCGGUGGGCGAGUUGCAGGGCAAUGCGUAUGUAUUAGGGUCAACUGUUCAGGAGAGAGCGAGGAGGGUCGCUGAUGAAUGCAAGGAAGGCAUGGAUAAGAUCUCGCAGAGAUUCAGGACAUGAGGCAUCCUUCUUGUUUUAGUUUGUAGAAGUUGAGGAUUUUAGUUCUUUGGUACCUCUUCGAGAAAGAGGAUAAUGUUACUCAUCACAUGCGGAGAUUUAAAGCUGCAGUAAGCCGUAAGCUUUCUAAUAAGUGCUGCAUCUUUUUUUUGUUGUUGUUUUUGUUGUUGUUGUUGUUGUUGUUGUUGUAACAUCUUUGUGAAUGAAUACAUUGGUUAUGAAUCUCCCAUCUUCAAGGGAAUGAAAUGUUGAAAAUUAGCCGUGCAUAAUCCCGUCGAUUGUGAAGUUAAUUGAUUAAUCAGCUCUUCUCUUAAUCUUCAAUUAGUAAUUCGAGUUUUACGGAUCAAAUUAAGAUUUCCAAUAAUUCAUCAACUUAUGGUGAUCGAAGUAACCAAAUCACUCAUCAAUAAUUGUUUUGCCAAUGUAAUGUAGAAUGAAAUUUCAGGAAUGAAUUGCUCUGUUAAAUAAGACCACUUGAGAUUAAAAUUACUAAAAGAAAAUUUUUCUUUCUACCUAGAAUAUUUCUCAAAAACCACCUGUCAUUAUCAGCAACCAAUGAAUCUGAUAAAUUUAAAAUUGCAUCGAGCUCAACUUAAUAUCCUAACCUUUAUUUACAGUCAAAUUAAAUAAUUCAAUUGAAUGUGGAUCAGUAGCAGUAAGUUGAUGGACAAAAACCCAAGAGGAGAAACACGGAACCCUUCACCCUGCAAAAUUAAAGCACAAAGAAUAAGUAGUGUAUCUGACUUAUGACAUCGCUUGCAAUGUAAAGUUUUCUAGCAACUAGCAAAUGAAACACAACUGGGGAGUAUUUUUCUAUGUCGAUUAACAUGGUACGAUCUUCUCAGUAGGAACUCAUAUGCCAUGCUUCGGCAUCAUCAGAGACUCAGAUUGUCAUUAAACAGUCGUAUCCUCAAUUUAGGCUAUUCAUCAAUCAUCACAGUUCACGAGUACGAAUGCUUCAAGAACACGAAGACAUUAAUUUGGCAUGUCAUUGGGCUUCUAUAAGGGAUUGGGUCAAUGUGGCAUGGAACCACUUCUUUUGUUUUUUUGUUUUUUCAUAAUUCUUUCCAUACAAAGACAAUUUUAACUAUGUGAUAAAGCUGAAAUCAUUGUAGUUGACAAUUUUUUAGCUUUGUGGAAAUAGAAUGCUAUCUUUCGCAGAAGGGCUUUUGUUGCGAAUACAAAACAAAACAAGACAGUUUACACUUGAACAGUCCACUGGUGCGAAAAUCUGAAUCUAAACUAUUAGGUAUAGGUGAAUUCAUGACAUUAUCUAUUGGUAAGUUUCCAUUUUGAGACCAGUAAAUGUACAGAUGUAUAAUGCAGCAAUUAUCUUAAGCUGUCAUCCACCCUAAUUCUGAGUCUAGAUUCUGACAUCUGUAAGAAAUCAUCCAAACGGCAACUAUGGUUCCCUCAGAACACCUCCCAUAUUUGAGACCUGGUUAUAAUGUAAAAGUAGAUCCUCAACUUCGACAAAUUGUGGUGUGGUCUACCUGAAUUUUUGAUGAACAUCAAUUUGGCCCCUAAUCGUUCGCUUAAACAGUCUACCAACAUGAACUUACCUAAUAUCUUGCUGUGUCAUCUGUUGCAUUUUCCAUCCAAAAUCUCUUUCCGAUUGUACAAUUUAGUCAUUACUAUAUUAAGAGUCGACAAGUAGAGAUAGAGCUACAGAAGUGCACUUACAGGCUUUGUUUCCUUCAAUCUACGCUCAAUUAGCUUAUUACGACAAUGAUGGAACUGCUUGUAUUUGACAUCCUCGCAACUUCACAAAUUUAAUUUCUCUCAUCUCAGUUAUAGACCUAUAAUCAUCUGAUAUAGAAAGAAGUUAACUUCUUGUUUCUCGAGUCGGGGAAAAUUCUAUAAUUCAUGUAUACUUUUUGAUAAAGUAAUAUGUAAUAAUGUUCAUAAAUUGCUUCCAUAUAAUACCUCACUUGGUGAUGUUUGGUUUGGACAAUUUGAGUCGCAAGGAUAAGGGCAGUCAACUUCUUUCACCACUGCCCUCUCAAAAUACCAAUCACCAACUGCCUCUGCAAUAGUCUGAAAUUACAACGUAUCACACGUUAAACUGUGGCAAACUAUUAUUAAUUUGCUUCAAAGAAUAUUUCAAAAGGGUCAACUUUGUAUCAUUAAUUGAAGCAUAAAAUCCUUUCAGAAAUUACCACCUUGUUGUGCAAUCUAGGAGAAUUUGGUGCGAACCAUGUGUCUUGUGAUUCACUCUGACAAUGAGUGAAGCAAGAAUCUAUUAAGAAUCCGCCAUUUCUUGAUCCACUAAAAGGUCUCAGUGCAAUGAGCAUCUCAAUUCUAAAACCUGCAAAAAUAUUUUGUUAAAUUAUCGCUUCAUUCCACCAAAAUCAUUUUGAUUUGUAACGUUGACUUCUUUCUUUGAUUCUAUGUACCUAUUUUUCGAUAGAUACCUUGAUGGGAAUAUGAUGCAUGUGUAUAUAUUUGUAAAUGAAGUAAAAUAGUGAGGAUUGAUAAGGAGGAAGAUUCACUUUACCUGUAGUAAUUUCAAUCCAAAUGAAUGUAGUAUGUCCAUUCAAGUCGGAAAGUUACAAUCUCGAGAAUAUAGUAAAACUUAUUUCUUUUUCAUGUAAAACAAAGCUGAACUUGAUAUGGAUUUGUCUUACAUAAUUUGUAUAAGAGCUCACAAAGAAAUGCAAUUGUUGAAUAUAAAAGAAAUCAUAGCAAUGACUUGAUGCAUUUGUUGAGGAAUAACCUUGGAGAAUAGUCAUUUGGAGUGGACUACAGGCUUGAGGAUUGGACUUGCAUCGCCGCCAUCGCCCAUAUGGAUCUGCUGAGGGUGGCACAAAUAUAUGAUGGAACUGUCCAACAACAAAAACUCUCAAUCAACUACUCGUAACAUAGCCAAUCAAUGAGCAAUAGUUUCAUACGAAACCAAACUAGAUGUGAAACUGAUAGUAAUGGUUGUAUGAAUCACAUUGAAUAUGAUGAGAUUUAUCGGUUUAUAUUUCUCGAAGGGAAAGAGAUUUUCAGCUUAAAAAUGAGUCAUUGAUUGAGUUUGAAAUAAUGGCUCAAAGCCUUACAAAAGAAUUUCAGAAUUUCCAGCUCAAUAUCCGUUACCUGAUAUGUAUCAUAUGCUGAAUUUAAGAUGAAAUAUGGCGUUCUGAUGAAUGGUAGUGCGUAUUGGGGAAAGAAACACUGCAAAAGGUCAAGAGGUUUCGAAGUUAGAUACUUAUUUUUCAUAUUGGCCAGAAGCUAGUAAAUAAGAAAGUAAAGUAAAAUGAACAACCUUGUAGGCAUAAUCAUAAGAAGUCAAACAGUCCUUGUUUAGAUUUUUUUGCACCCCCUGCAGCAAAUGUCCACAUUUUCUUCAGUAAGAGGCAAAAUAUGUCAUGCUAAAAAUGGUUCUUUUAAGCGAUUAUUUUUGCAAAAUGUGUUCGAACCGCGAAACCAACCUGUAGAGUGACUAAGCUGCUAAAGAAUGGCCUAAUAGUGUUGUUUCCAGAUAUAUCUUUCCUGCAAGAAGGGUUAUUAUAAGUGAUUUAAUAUGAACUCUCUCGCUUUCUAAAAAGAUCCUUUAAAGCCGAUUAAGAAAUUCACGUGUCGAGGAAGAAUCCCGCAUCGCUCAUGCAUUUAACCGUCGCUGUCGCAGGAAGUCGCUGUGCAAGAUCAUCGCAGUGGAAAAAAGUAGCCAAACCCCCAGCCGAACAGCCCGAAAGCAGUGCCUGAGUUUAUGCAAGCAAUGCAAUGACAAACACACUACAAAAUUCAUAAACUUUCGAAGAUGGUGUUGUGAUGGAUUUUAUAAAUGACCAACACAUAGAUAUGAGAAUCAGAUGACAUUUUUAGCGCACGACGAAAUUUGAAAUAACCUUUUCGGCUUGCAUUAGCCCUUUGGAGAAAAGAUCACUAAUAAUUGCAUUCCAGAUCCUUUGGCCUCUGAAGUAAAGUAUCGAAGUCUGCGGAUUAGCAUAAGAAAUUGUCAAUAAGACUACAAAAACAAAGUUAUGUUGCAUAAUAAAAAAAAAAAAAGACAAUUUUGGCAUAGAAAAACAACUAGAGUAGAAUACAUUGAAUUAUGAGAAUCUUACUCCAUUAUAGUAUUCAGAAUCUCCUGUAAAAGAGGCUCCGUCGCAGUAUCGAAGCUUUACGCGGUUCCAAUUAUAGAAAUCUAAUACAAAAAAAAGGCUUUGAUCACAAAAUUUAUUAUUUUGUAUACGCAAAUAUAAGACAAAGAAAUAUAGAAUAAAUUCAGUUCUAAAACCUAAAUUUUCACCAUGUAGCCAAAUCAUAGCAACAAGCAUUAUUGAUCCUGGUCUAUACCAUGGCAAUACAAAUCUACAAUCUUAAGAAUAUUAGUCACAUAUUUAAUAAUAAUAUGUUGAAUAUAUAUAUUAAAAAUAUCAUUUGCUAACAGCUUAAUUAAGCUUUUGAAGAACAACGGCUAUUUAAUAUUAUUCUCACAUGACAUAUAUUAAAAUUGAUAGUUUGAAUCUAUUAGAAAAUAACCAUAUAUUAUCACAUUAUUUUAACACAACGCGAAUUCUAAUACGUACAUAAUGUCAAUAAUUAUUGAGUUCGACCUGAGCGUUUUGUUAACAUGAAAUCAGAGUUAAGUUCGCGAUAAUUAGAAUUAGUGGCUUGAAUAUGAUAUGAGAAAUUCGGUUUAACUAUUAAGUAGGCAUUAAAGAGAUCCUUUCUUUUAAUUAAAAAAAGGGGAAAAGAAAUCAACGGCUGAGAUCGAACCUGGGUUCAUCGUAGGGUCGUUACUGAGGAUCCCGAGGAACGGCUCCAGCUCUCUCUUGUACAGCGUGGACCCCCUCCCUGUCGUCGCCCGCGCCGCACACGAUGCCACGUCAUUGCACCACCCUCCCCCCUGCGCAUCAUCGCCACACCCCCAUUAUUCAUCAGACGGUCCAGAUUGAUCGAUCCCACAUCCGUCCGAUCUUAAUCGGACGGCGGAAGGCAUAGCAUCAAAUGAUAUUUUAUGGGCCGGGCCGGGCCCAAAAUGAGGCCCACAAAACCCGGCUCACCGACAUUUUGUUUAGGUAUGUAUUAAUCUAUCUAAUAAUAAAGUUAUAUAUAUAUAUAUAUAGUAAUAAAUGUAAAAUUAAUAAAUUAUUCACAUAACUAGAUUUGAAAUUUAUUUAAAUUUUCAAAAAAAUUUAAAUUUAAAAUGAACCAAUCAUUACCUCAAACUGUAGCAACCAAUUGCGAGCGCCGGCGCCGAAUCCUCCGUCAAGGUGAUAUGCAGGGGCGCUCCCAUCAAUACAAACUUGCGAAUCAAUAAAUAAAUAAAUAAAUAAAAAGUUAAAAUUAAUUAAAUAAGCAAAAAAAAAAAAAACAAUAACGAAAAAAAAUUAUUUGUUUUUAAAUUAAAUAAAUUAUAAUCACAGUGAUUAUACUGUUGUACGUAGUUUUACCUGCUCCAAUGGAAACGGCGUGAGGGAGAAGCGUCAUGGGGACGAGAAGCGUCGUGUCGUUCGCUCGCGCACCUUCGAUGCUUCUAGAAGGAUCGAAUCGGAGCGAAAUUACGAGCGCGAAUAAAAUCCAAAUCGAAUCGCGUUUCGCCAUUUUCGGGGAGGAAUUGAAGAUUUGAUAUAUUAUUAUUAUGGUGUGAAAAGAGGAUGGAGAUCAGAUUAAAACGGAUUUAAAUGGGUAGGGAAAAUGAUGAGAAAAAAUAUGAAUAUGAGAACGAGAGAGAAAGAGAGAGGAGAGGAGAGAGAAAAAGGGCACUGAUACGGAAGGGAACGGAUUAGUGUUUAUGGGUUUUUAAGAAGAGAGAGAGAGAGAGAGAGAGAGUAACAACAAAUUUAGUUGCAUUUAUCUCAAAUAAUUUGGGAUAAUAUGCAUUUAUCGGAAAUAAUUAGGGAUAAUAAUGCAUUUAAAUUGGGUUGGUUUCAAAACGGGUGCCCAAAAAUCAGGACAAAAAUUUUAUGGGCAUAGUCUCCAAACUAAUAGUUUACCAAACUAAUAGUUGGGGGACUAUACGGAUCGGCGCCACGUGCCCGAUUCGACGGCCACGGAUGGAAAGAAAAAAAAAUUAUAUUUUUAGAGAGAGAGAGAGAGCGAAAAAGUAAUUGAGAUCCGUGCCGUCGGAUCGGCCACGUGGUACCGAUCCGCAUAGUCCCCAAACUAAUUUGGGGACUAUACCCAUAAAAUUUGUCCCAAAAAUCGGCUUAAGUCGAACAAAAGUUAAAGAUAUUCUGUUUGUUUCGGUCGUCCACUUUGAGAACUCGUUGUCUCUGAUUUUGACAGAAAUUAUGUUAUUUAUUUUGUAACUACAAAGCUUAGCGGGUGUAAAAAGAAAAUUAAAACUAUUAACGCAAAAAACAAAAAAAGCAAAAAGCCCUAAAAGUGGCCCGCUUAAAUAAGAAUUAUUGGUUGAUUUGAGAAGUUUACAUAGGUGAUAUAACGCUCCAAUAGUCCCAUGUCAAAUAAAAAAAUAAUUUUAUUUAGAAUAUAUGAGAUCGACAUGCUAAUAAUUAUAAUUUUAACUUAAAUAUUUUGGGCAGAUCAGAUACUAAAAGCGGAAUAUCAACUAGAAGUGUGAGAACGUCGCCAGGGCUUAGAAUAUAUGAGAAUAUGUUGGAUAGUAUGGAACUAUAGCUACAUGAUGACAUUAUGUAGGGGAUAUUAAUGAAAGAUUUAUUCAAUCUGUGGCGUUUAGCUUAAACAUGGAAAAGCAUAUAUGAUUUCUUAUAUAAAUAUUUGUGCAUGUGAUAGUGUAGAAUUCGCAUACAUGCUAGAUGAUAUAUCAUGUAGAGACAUAACUAUUAUUGAAACUGUUUAGUUGUUAUUAACUUUAUGCUCAAGUUUAUUGCAUUUUAUCAUGCCUCAUUGUCCUAGUGGUGUAUUUUACCACUCUCGGUGGCUUACCGACUGGGAACUAUUGUUUAAUAAUUCUCACCCCUAUUGGUUGGUUGUUUUUGUUUCAGAGCCUUUCGCAGCAGGAAAGUUUAGGGAUCGGGGCAAGAGAGGUAACGACUAACUAGAGCCUCACAAUGUGUGAUAGAUGAACCAAUAAAUUUAUUUAGUGGUUUAGUGCUGUGAUGUAUUAGUAUUUUGAGUGAGAUUCUAUAUAUUCAUAUUAAUUGUACCAUUGAUUAGAAUUGUUGUAAUCUUGAAAUAUUAGUUAAGAAUUUUUAUAUUUAGCCGUUGUAUGUUCUCGCUCUGAUUAUCAUAUUUCAGGAUGGAUUAUACUACCAUUCUCUUUGAUUGUUGUAGACACCUUGUGUGUAUUGUGAUUUUUGGUGUGCACGGCGGGUCUGUGCACGCACCCGGCGGGCUUUCGCUGUAGCUCAGGGCGUGACAGAUUAGUUUGGUGUAAUAACAAUAAUAACUGGAUUUAAGCUUUGAUGGUUAAAUAGUGGGCCUUUGCAAACAUAUUCGAUUUUGGAGGCCCAUGGUCUCAUCAAUUUGAAUAUAAAUUCUACUGUUCCGUCAAAAAACAGGAGAAAAUAUAAGCAGUUUUCGAUACCAAAAUGAGUCUUUAAAUACUCCUUAUCUUCAAUUUUUCCGAUUUAAGUUUUCCAAGUUAGUUAAGUGUUUUUUUUUUCAAAUUAAACUGCUCUAUUAGCCAUUAGCUGCUAAUUAAAUUAGUUUCGUUUGAUAAAAUUUUUAAGUUAUUUGAUGGAAAUUAUUCCACUGCAGAAAAUAAAAUAAAAGUUAAAGCCUCAGAGAAACUCAGUUUGCCCAAUCUAAUGAACGGCCGGGAUCUCUGAUGGACGUUCCAUCAACGACAAAUUUUUAGUUGUUCAGAAAAAUUAUGGAGCAUUUUGAGUCGGCUAUCUAACCUCUCAAAAAUUUUAAUUUUAUCAUUCAACAUUUUAAUUUAUUUGAUUUGAAUAAAUUAAUGAUAUUUUAAUUUUAAAAUUUUAAUAUGUUGUUUAUCUUUACAUAGAUGUUGAGUUUUAGUAUAUUUUAUUUAAUUCUCGCAACUAUAAAUUUAUUAAAAUAAAUAAUUAGUUUAAACUUUGAAGCGUAGCACUGCUUGCUGAUUAAUCAAACAAAGUAAAAGAUUAAAUAUAUAGUAAAAUACAAAUUUUGAAAGAUUGAGUAGCUAAUUCAAAAUGGUCAAUAAUUUAUGUAAGUUCUGUAUGUUUUGACGUUCACAAUGUUACUACAAUGAAUGGGCAAGUAACAAAUUAUAAUUAGAAAUAGGAUGAUGAGAUGAGUAGUUAUGGAGGUAAUAUUAUAAUAUUUUGGUGUAUUUAGUUAAUGAAGCAACUAUGCUUAAGUUGAUACCGAGAAGUAAAUAUUAUUACUUGUUAUUUAAAACAAAAAAAAGCAAGCAAAUCUAAUUUAAAAACUCUUUAGGGUCAAACUACACUUGGAAGGGAAAGGAUCACCCAACAAAGAUAUGUUUAAUUAAUUCAGGAUGUUAAGUCAAUUAUAGCUUUAGCUUUAAUUAACAAUAACUAACACAAAUUAUAAGAUAAGGGAAAACGAAGAUGCAUCUUCGUUACAUUAUCUAGGGUUCCAAUUAACAAAGUCCCAAUAUUUGUCACAUUUAUAGAAAGAUAGAGGUAGCUCUAAUGUUACAAAAAAAGUGAGCAAAAUUAAGUGCAUUUUUUCCAAUUCUAAAGACCUUCUUAAGAAACAGAAAUUGAGUUACACAGCAAAAAUUUAAAAUGAAACUAAAGUAUCUUUUUAGUUUUAGUUUAAGCUACACACUAUUUAAUUUUUCUAACUUGAUGUGUGCGUUUUUUCGUGAACAAAAAAAGGUUUGAAAAGUUUUACUCAUAAGAGUUCCUAACUCAAUCUCCCGCUUUGUCAGAAAAAAAAUAAAAUAAAUGAGACUAUUCCAAUAAUAUUAAUUGUAUAAAAGUCGCGACAACGACAAAGACUCCUAAAGCUUCUGUUUCGUGCUUUAUUUAUAACAUACUAUAUAUAGUUUCUCUAGUAACGUAUCAGUACCACGCUCAUAGCAUUUCCACAGAAGCUCUAUUAGGGACAAACAAAGCUUAAAUUAUUAGUUGGUUAUGUGUCAUUGCCUAUGGGAGUGAGAACAUGAUCCAUUAUUAGUUAGUUAGGGCUAGGGAAUCAAAUUAAGUGAUGCAUUUCUAAUGGACCCAAAUUAAAGAAGCCACUAUAUAUAGAUGCAUGGUCCCCUCUCCUAUGAUCUUUUUGACCAUAUAGGACAAGUAGAACAUAUAUAAAUAUGUAUUGCUACAAUUUUUUUUAACUAGAUCUAAUUUGAUACAUACUAGUACCAUCACCAAUAAUAAAUCCUAAGCAUUCAAAGGUUAAAAAGUUUAUAAUAAACACAGUUCUUCUAUUAUUUAUAGUAUAUAUAGUAGCUGAAUUCAUAUUUUCUUUAUAUUUUUUCAUUAUUUUUUGAGAGAAAGAUAGUAUGCUAUCCGCUUCGGUUAUUUCAUUAUUGUAGUACUGUAGUUUUGCAUUUCUUCAUAUGAACACUUUAAUUGGUCCCUAAACGUUGUUAUAAAAUAAUCAUUUUAUUACUCUAUAGUAUAUGAUUUUUUUUUUUUGAGGGAUAAAGGUAGCAAGCAUUUUACAUUAAAUUAUUAAAUAUAAAUUUGCAAUAAAAGUGCAAAAAAAUGUGAUAAGCGAUGCAUUUUAACUUUCCAUAGAAGAGACCUAUUGAUGUUCAUAAGAGCAUACUAUUGCUCGAAUAAAACUACGUAAUUACGACGAAUGCAUGUAAAAUUAUAUAUUUUUAAAAAUUUUCUAAUAGAAUUAUAGAACUUAUAUUAUUAUAUUAAUUAAAUCAUUGUGAUCUAAGCAACAUGCUUUUAUUUACAAAAAUAAAUAUAAUAUAUAUAUUAUUGUUAUUUUUUAAAGGGGAGAUCGAGCUCCGCGGGAUAGAUAGAUUCGAGUAUACGUAAUGCGUAAUGAGAUUGUCGGAAAAGAAUAAAAAAAAAAAAGAAAAAGAAAAAGAAAAAAAAGAGAGGCUCCCACCAAACUCCGAGGGUGACUCCUUUUUAAAGUUUGGGGGGCUUGUUGUUUGGGAGGGAGAGAUGGGUCCCACGUGCAUGUCAUGUGACCGUGACGUUACUGCAAUUGUUCGCUGCACCAGGUUCAUCUGAAAAUAAUAAUAAUAAUAAUAAUAAUAAUAAUGAAAACAAUAUGUUAUUCUAGCUAUGUCUUAGCUCAAAUUGAAUAAUUUUUGGGUUAAAGUUCAUCUGAAACUUGUAUCUAUAUUUAUACUUUAAGGCAACGUUUGGUUUGGGUAUAAGCAAGAAUUAGCUAUUAUAGGGAUAAGUACAAAUAUUGGAAUAAGAAAAAUAGCAUUUGGAUGAAAAUUGAGUUGUUUCAGGGGAUAAGAAAAAUAACGUUUGGAUAGAUAAUAAGAAAUAAGAAAAAUAGUGGAUAGUUAUAUAUAGAAAAUGGAGGUGUUGGUAGGGAUGAUUAUACCCGGUUAUUAUAAGUAACCGAGAACUACUAUUCUCGGAUAAAAAAUUAGCGUUUGGAUAUAAAGAGGGGGAUAAGGGGUUAUUCCACCUCUUAUCCCCAUGCCAAACGCUGCCUAAUAAAUUUGGAGUUGGCUUUAAAUGAAAGUUCGAUUCAGCCUAAAUUUAUUAAUACUUAGUAAAGUUAAUAAAAUUAGUUAGUUAGAAAGUUCUUAAAAAAAUAUCUAAAUAUCGAUAGAAAAUACUAACUUGUGUAUGCUAUAGUACUUAAAUUAUUGAUAUCUAAAUAGUAAGACAUCUAAGAGGGAUAGAAAAAAAAUUAUGAACUCAAAUACCUUAUGGCAUUUGAUAUAAUAUACCGCAAGAUAUUUAUUUAUUUUUUAUAAAUUUGAUAACUCCGACGAAAUCAAAAUUUAUUCAAAAUUUGAAAAUUCAUUAGUAAUUUUUUGCGAUUUACAUAUAGCAAGCCAGCAUCGUAAUGCGAAGUUCAACAAAUGGUUAUAAAUCAAAGUAGCUACAAGUUAUGAAUCAGCGAUGGUGGAAAUAAAAGCUCGACAUUAAAUUAAAAGAAAAAAAUUACAAAAAUAAUUGUGGUGCACAAGAUGUGCUUAUGCACCGGGUGCAGCCAAAUAAUCUGGCCCAACUCGCCGCGAUUGUCUAUGUUCGGCCGCAGUCAGAAGGCACCGAGACUCGGAUGCUGAGUGCUGACAGCGACCGACACGAGACGAUGCACCCAACGUGAAAUUACAAUUAUGCCCUCAACUCCUCUUCAAUGUUUGACCAGUGACUGCUGUGGCGGCUUUGGACUACUACUACACUUGUGUGUUGUAAUAAAGUAUGAUUAAAACCUAAAGCAAUGCUUAAAAAGGAAAAUUAAAAGAUGAGUGAGCAUUUAAUAUAAUUAAAUCACUAGUCAGUACAAAAAUUUAAAAAGUUUAAAAACACAUUCUACUUAAUAUUUUUACCCAGUAAAUUAUUAAAUUAUAUAAAUUUAAAAUUUUAGCUGAGAAUUUUUUGCUCUAAAAUCAGAGAUAAAGAGUAUGAAAUAAUAGUUUUUUUUCUAAAAAUUUAAAUUACAAAAGAACGGUAUUUUUAAUAUUUAUACUCAACAUAAAUUUCUCAUAUUUGAAUUUAAAUAUUAUUUUUUUAAUUUGAAAGCUCAGCAAUUCAUAUAUAUUAGUUAUUUCUUUUUUUUUCUAAUUUUUAUCUUGAUUUUCUACCAAUUGGAUGAUUAAGAUCAUGCAUUCAAACUUCUCUAACCGAUGAAAAUUGAAAAAAAAAAAAAAACUAUUGCCAAAUUUAGUAUUAUCCCACAUUUAUUUUUAUUAUCUCUGAUAAUGCUAUUUAUUUAAAACUAAAUCACCAAUCAAAUUCGCAAUUAGCAAAUCCACACAAUUGCUCCAGGAAGGGUAUUCCGGUAAUUUCGGCCUCCACAGUCCCAGUAGAGCCCCUGGUGAGGACAAAACCCGCUUUGAAAAAAAUAAUUAAUUAUUACCUCUAACCUCACUCUCUCCCCAUUAAUUAAUUAUUAAUUGUAGCUAAUUAAUUAUUAGCUGCUUUCCUUAGCAGCUAGAGGAAGUAAAAGCUUGAGAGAGAUUGCUUAAUUUUUUAUAAUAAUAAAUAAUAAUUAGGUCCAAUAAAUCGACAUAAUUAUUCCCCAAAUUACCAAUUUCUCUUUUUUUUUUUUUUUUUUUUUUUUCUCUUUAAGAAAAGCGGGAGAGAGAUUAUAGCGACUCCCAAUGUUGAAUAGUGUCUCCUUCUCCAUAGCUUUUCCUCUUCCUCAGUAACCAUUACACACUCUCUCUCUUUUGUCGACGCAAAAACCCUCGAUUGCUAGGGAUUGAUUGCUUUUUGGGCGAUUCCAGGUACUUGGCAUUACCCUCUCCGUGCUUUGCUCGCUCAAAUCGAUUUGUUUGAGGUUUAUACGAGGGAUCGAGGUGCUCAUAGUGGUAGGUGGGAUUGUGCUUCGUCCCGAGUUGAUUUGGAGGUGGAAAUGGUGAUUUUUGCGGGUAAAAAUGGCGUCUUUACUGUUUUUCAGUUGUUUUGGGUAGCUUAUUAGGGUUAGAUUGGGGGAGAUCUGGUGGUGUACGGGCGAUUCUGGUUGGAAUUUAUGUGAUUUUUUUUAGUAGUCAUAUCGGAUUUUUCGAAUGAUGAGUACGUAUACGAUUUGGGGCAUUGAUUGCUCUUCUCUCCCCCAACUUUUACCUUCUUUCCUUAAUUGCGGAGGAUUCGAGAAGAUCUUGUUCCUUGUGGGGCUUUUACUCAUUGGGUUCUCUUCCCAUUUAGCCACAAUGUGUGUAUGUAUGUGUGUGAAAUAUAUCUUUUCUUCUCUAUAGGCAAGGAAUUGGGCUAUUUGUUACAGCAACAUUUGUGCCUUUUGCGUUCUUCAUGUGCAAAAAUGGGUACUUUUUUUUUUUGCCCCUCCUCUGAUGGUGUUAAUUGUGAUAGAGAUGAAUGUAUUUUGCCUUUGAUCUUGUGGUAAUUGUCAAAAAAGAGGUAAACUUGCAGGUUUGUUGAUGGGGAAAGAAAAAGAGGGAAAAAAGAAAAACAAAAUAUUACCCAGUUUUCUUACUAAACUCCCCUUUACAUGUUACAAUGUUGCAUUGUUGUAUUUUGGUGUAGCUGGGAUGAGCAGAUGAAAAAUCAUGUGAAUGGCAUUGUGUAGAUUGUUCAAAAUGUAACUAGAGAAUAAAGACCCCUUCAUUUUGUAGAAACUGCUCUUCUCUUCUUCGUAUCGUGUAAUUUUCGGUCUCUAGAAGUUGAUGCAAAUUCGAAACAUGCGAUCCUUGUGUGGUAUAUCUGGGUAUCUUGUUAUUUCUCUAGACCAUAUUCCAACUAUGUGGUUGACGCAGAUUAGAUUACUGUCUCUCGAUUCAUGUCUCCUCUUCACCUUUUGUACUCUUACAGUAAAUUUUUCAUUUUCUUACUUUGUAGUAUUGGUACAUAGGAGUUCAAAAUACUGAAUUAUAUGAGCAUUAUUUGUCGAUUUGGAGAGAUGGUUAUGUGGGAUCUGACUUGAUUUGCUUAUGCUUCAGCAGGUCAAUUUUUCUAUGGGACAGGAUGUGACUUUGGAAUUUGAGAAUCAUUCCCAAUCAAGGCAUACUCGCAAAAUUGUUCAACCCUCUUGUCGCAGCAAGGAAAAAGCAGAAGAUUGUAAGAAAAAAAGACAAACAACUAGCAGAUAUUACCAUUUGAAAAGUUCAGAUGGCGACUUUAGAGAAUUACCCCUUGACCGCAUCCCAAAUUUCCAUUGCAAAAGCUUACCUUCCAGAACCUUCGAACCGAAUCUGGAAGAAAACGCAGUGCUAAAACGUGGCUCUAUGUAUCAGAGCUCCAGAGAAGUAAGGAGGAUGAGAAAGCUCAAGGAGGGAAGGAGGAAAAUAGAUUCAGCUUAUGAUGAAGGCGCAUUUCUCUCCUUUAAGAUUGUCGAUUCAGUGUCUCAACCCAGCACAAGCGAAAUACUUCCGCUAUGCAAGGAGAACAGAUCGCCUCUCGUCGCCUUGUAUGCUGAACCAAAGUCAUCUUCUUCUGACCCAGCUCACCCAAUCACUGGAAGAUCCGUGGAAUUUCUUGAUCUUUCAUUCCGUGAUCUUCCUGAGAAGCGCUUGAAAGGUGAUGAUACUUCAAGCCCAGAUUUCAGUUUUCAGAAAAUGCACUUAUUAGAUGAACUGUUGGAGAUCUCUCUUGACUAUGAGGAGACUAAAAGUCAUUGCAGAAGAGCAGCCCCUGGCAAAAGCUUUCCUGAAACAGACACAGUAGGUGCUCUUCCCAAGUCAUUUUCGACCAAGGUAGGACUAGUUGAUUCUCCUAGCCAACCGGAGGUCGUCAUUAAAAAUGCAACCUCAAAAGCUCGACCAAGCCCAUUCAAGAGGAUGUUGGACCCAAUCAUGAAGUCCAAAUCUAUGAGAAGCUCAUCUCUCCUUGAACCGGAAUCAGCUAAUUUGACUGAUCCUGUGAACGUCAGGAGGAACGGAAUCUCUCGUAAAUCUUUGUUGAACGACUUCUCGAAGGCAACAAAAAAUUUGGAGUCUACUCAUCAGUCUGUUGGGGAAGAUCGAUUCAUGACAACUGCUUCUUCACCUGCUCAUCUACAUGCUGUUCUUAAGUUGGACUUCAACAACGGCGUCCCAUCUUUCGAGUUCUCCACUAAGUACCCAGAAGAUGUUCUUUCUGCAAAAGCAUGGAAAACAGGAAAUGCAUAUAACUGGGUCUACACCUUCCAUAGUUAUAACAGGAGGAUUAGUAGCGGGGGACGAUCUAGCAAAGAUAAGCAUGGGCAUUCACCUCCGAUUGUUGGCCAAAUGCAGGUCUCCUGUUAUCUGUGCUCAGAAGUAAGAGACGAUGGAGUUUUGAGUAACUCCACUGUAACCGAGUUUGUUUUAUACGACAUUGCUCAGGCCAGACGGAGCUUUGCUGUUGAAGAGAGAACUCAGUACUCAUCAAGUUCAGUUCACCCUUCCACAUCUAGUGUUGCUGAAAACUUGGGCACAUCGGAACAGCAACACCACUUAGGAGACACUUUAAAUAGUAGCUGUGAUUAUCCUGCCUCUACCUCUUACCCAUGGUCACAAUCAGAUUUACAUCCGCAUCUGGAAAUUGCGGCUAUUGUUAUUCAAAUACCUUUUAACAAAAAAGACUGCUUACGAGAACUGAAGAGACGAGGGGUCAAUUUACCAAAUGCCACUUCUGUUGAUCAGAGAAGGGAGACGACCACGAAUAUCUCGUGUCCUAAUGUGGUAAAAGUGGUUACUCCUAGCGGGCCUCACGGAUUGCCUAAUGGUGACGAUGCGGGUCCUUCUUCGUUAUUAGAUAGAUGGAGAUUCGGCGGAGGCUGUGACUGUGGUGGGUGGGACAUGUCCUGUCCAGUUGUUGUGUUUGAGAAUCCAUGUGAUGAUGAUUGGGCUAACUGCUUGACAAUGGAGAGCAAGAAACCAUUGGAGCUUUUUGUUCAGGUAAAUACUCCUAUUACAGCAUAUUAUUUCCUAGAUUUCUUGUAUAUGUCAAAAGGGUUUUUGCUCAUAUUUUUCCUCUGCAAAUAUGGAUAAUGUGUAAAUACCCCUGCAAAGUUUGUAUAUGUGUUUGUGCCUGGAAGCUUUGCAGUGGUAAUUGCAACGCAUAUAUAUAUGUACGACCCUUAAAAGAAGCCGUGCUCUUAUACAAAUUAUGAUAUUCAUGGUUUGUGCAAUAUUUCUAGUCUCUGAUACUUAUGCUUUAACUUUUGAAAUGCGUAGUAAUUAUAUCAAUAUAUGCUAUUCGUUCUAUAGAAACAUUUGUUGAAUGUAUCAUCUUCCUUUUCUGUUCUAGAUUCUCAAUCUAUACCGACAACACUUUGUGACACUAGAACGAACUUACGGACCAUUUUAAGUGUAUUAUCAUAUUCAAUUUCGUUGCUUUUUAUUCUCAAUCUGACGAAAUGCUACAGGGAAGCACGAGUGUAUUAUCAUAUUCAGUUCCGUUGAUUUUUACGCUCAGUCUGAUGAAUUGCUACAGGGAAGCAAGGAAAAGAUACCUGCACUAUCCAUAAUGGCCGAUGGAAAAGGACAAUAUUCGAUUUACUUUCAUGCGCAACUAUCGGCAUUACAAGCGUUUUCCAUCUGCAUCGCCAUGUUACACUGUUCCGAAGCUUCUUCAGCUGUUGUUGGUCAAGAGAAGAACAAGCACAAGUUGUACUCGAAUUCGCUGAAGCUGCUCCUCGAGGAAGAAGUGAGACAGUUGAUCGAAGCAGUCGCGCUCGAAGAAAAGAAGAAGACCAAAAAGAAAGCGGAGCAGAUCCCGCCGGCUUUCUUGCUCGACCCGCCCUUUUCUCCGAUGGGAAGAGUCUAGAGAACGAACGGAUAUAUGGAGGAAGAAUUAUUGCGGGAAUCGAAGAGAAUUAGCGAGGGAUAUGGGUGCUCAAAUUAUUUUUUGUAUCCUUUGUUCAUGUGAAUUUUGUGUUUCAACUCCUGUUCAUAUUAUUUAUAGUGGUCACAGGCAGCAGCGUCCAUAUGUUUUUGUAGCUUGUAGUGAGAAAAAGGGUGUUACAUUCUAUGAAUGGUGCGCAAAUGUGGCACUUUGGAGCCAGAAGCCAUCUUCUGAAAUAAAUAGAAUUAUUAUGCCUAUCAGUUCCAGAUUUCUGCACCUUCUCCUAUUUAUUUUUCUCUAAGAUUUUGUGCAAGAAUUUAAGUGCAUUAGUAAGGAAUCGUGCCGAACUAUUGUUGGCACGAUACUACAUAGUAUACAUCGUGCUGUGCCGAUCAAAAAAUACUUGUGUUGAUACAUAUUAGUAUAAAAUAAAUAUUGUUUUAGCAUCAAUAUUUGAAAUCAAAUUGCUUAUAAUAUGUAUUUUUAAAUUUUUUAGUACUUUGUUGAGAUAACUAUUUACUUUUUUUUUAAAAAAAAAGAAGGUUUGAGUCAUGCCAUCGGCACACGAAGUUGCAUUAUGCUGAUAUCUUUUUGGGGUUGUAUCGUGUCGAUAUUUUGUUGCCGCCGUAUGAUACGAUGGACUGGACACAGCCCAUGCCAAUGGACUCUUAAAUCUUUAUUUUUAUGUUCGAUAUGGACGAAAUAACACGAAAUGUUCCUCAACUACAAUUGUGUUUAAGAGUUCUUGCCAUGAAAUCAAUGUCUUGGAUUAGCCCCUGGAAUUUUCUGGAUUAUCAACAGCAUAGAAGAUCCGAAAUGGUAGCCUAAAGUUUCUGCAACAGCUUCUCUUCAGCAGAAACUUUAGGCCCUGAUAUAUCAUCUAUUCUUUAUACGGAUAUAUACCCAUAUACGUGGUCCAUCGGGCCGAAUCUCGUUUAGGCCCUGGCCCAAUUCAAUCCUGUUUAGAACGAUUAACACCAUAACUUCAUACAAAUCCAUCCCAAAAAUAAAAGGUGAAAAUUACGUUACGAUGAUUAACACCAUAUUACGAUGACAAUUAUGCUAUAGAAUACUUGCUAUUGGAUAUUUUCUAGGUAGCAGUUAUUACGUUACGAUAUUCAUAGAAAGGAGAUGGGGUACGCCGUACGCGAAUGAUAGUAUAAUUACAUAAAUACAUUUCCAAAUUUCUCUUUCGGCCCUGCAAAUCCUCUCGUUUUAUUUUUCAUUCUUCUGGAUUUCUCAUUGUCGUUCUUCUCUCUCUUCAUCUAUAAUAAUAGGUAUUUUUUUUUCCUCUGUCCCUCUCCUUUCUUAUCUUAUAUAUUUUUACUAUCUGAGAUAGGCUGCACGUUACCGACCGUCCCCGACGCAAGUAGUAAUGGUGGUUGAGUCUCGGGGUCCCGAAUUCAAAUGCUAAUUGUUUCACAUUUUCAGCUAAAUUUAUUUCUAAAUGAAAUAAAUAAAAUGGAAAACAUAUUAUUUAUCCCUCUCCUUUCUUAUGUAUUCAUGACCACACGGUGAUAGUUUUUUUUUCAAAUGAUCAUUUUCAUGUUUUUUUUUUUUUUCUUUUAGUGUUAAAUCAAAUGCAAUAAUUUUAUAUCUGAUAAAAUACUAUGCAUAUAAUUUUUCUUAAUCUUUCAUUACUUAUACAUAACGCUAACGAAAGGCUUGGUGGUUGGUAUCCGAGAGCCAAGUUCGAAUCCUAGUUAAUUCACAUUUCUAGCUAAGUUUAUUUCUAAAUGAAAUAAAUGAAACGGGUAGCGUGCUACCUAUCUCUCAAACAAAAAAAAUAAAAAAUAAAAAAAAAUCAGUCUCUAUCCAAAAUAAUUGACAUAGUUUACAAAAUAAUUAUUUUACCCUUAUCCAUUAUAUCAUUACUUAUGCCUUUUAUUCAUAACUUCAAAAUCAGUCGCUAAGUUUUUUAUCAGUAAAUUUCAUUGUCACACAUACAUUACAUGAAUAAUUUAAAUUUAAAAUUUAAAACUUUAAAUCAAAUUCAAGAUCUGAAUUUUAAAUUUAAAUUCGAAUUCAAAAUUUAACUUUAAAAUUGUAAGUCGGUUUCAAAUCUAAAUUUGGAUUUGAAAUUUAAAUUCAAAGUCACAUUCUGAAUUUGAAUUUCAAAAUGAAAGUUUGAAAUUAAAUAUAAAUUUAACUCAAAAUCUAGAUUUGAAAGUAAAAUCAAGUACAAAAUCUCAAUUUGAAUUAGAAAUUAAAUUUGAAUUAAAAUUCCAAUCCAAAACAAAACUUUAAAUUUAAAAUUUAAGCCCAAAUUAAUUUUAAAUUUGGGCUAAUCUAAGAUAAAAAUCUAAAUUGAAAAUUGAAUUAAAAAAAAAAUCUAAGUGUAAACUUUGAAACUAUUUAGGAUAAAUUUGGCAUUUUAAAAUUCACUACUUUAAACUAGUCUCCAACUAAAUUCCGUGACAUGAGAAAACGGGAUUGACAUUUAUUAUAUAACUCGUUCCAUUUGCAGGGUCUAAGUGAUAUUUUUAGAAGCAGUUGAGAUAUUUUUAAGAUUUUGAGUGGUACCUACGAAAUUAUCCCUAUACGUACGUAUAUAGAUACGCUCUGUAUAUCGUAUUUUUUUGUUAAUAUUGUUAGCAAGAUUUUAUUCUAAUAAACUUUGCAUGUAUGUACAUACAAAUAUAACUAAUAUAUAUAUAUAUAUAUAUAUAUAUAUAUAUAUACACACAUAUAUAUACUUAAAAAUAUAAUAAUUAGCGCUCUUUUUUUUCCCCCAUUUUUUAUUUGCGACCUUCGAUUAGGGUGUAAAUGGUACCAUUCUUUUCUGAUCUGGUGUUCUACUUCAUAAGGAUUUUUAGGGUUUUUUGGAUUUCUUGGUUAUCUCCCACAAAAAUCGGAAGAAGAAGAAAAGGUAAAAUUUUUAUUCGAGAUGAUUAAUCUUGUUUUUUUCAUACACAAUCCUCAAUUUAUAUGUUUUACAAAUAUUAUGAAUAAUAAUAAUGUGAUGUUUAUAUUUUUAUUUAGGGAAAACUUUAAAUACCAUCUAUGUGGUUUUGUAUUUUCCCACUUUAUUACUCUGUAGUUUAAAGCGCAUUACUUUCGUAUUCUGUGAUUUUAAUUUUUUUCUUUUUAUUAUCUUCUUCAUUAAGUUUUUCAUUAAAUCAGUGACAAGGUUAAAAUUAAAAGAUACUAAAGUAAAAAUCUGAAGUUUUUUUGUAUAUGAUUUAAUGAAAAGUUAAUGAAGAGAUGAUGAAAAGAGAAAAAUAAAACCAUUGAGUCAUUCGGUCUAAAUGCUACAUGAAGAACAUAAGCCAGAUGACGGGAUGGGAAGAUGAUGGAACAGGGAGACCUAGGAUGUAGAAGAUCAUAACAAGUGAUUUGGCAGAUUUGGAUUCCUAUAUAUCCACUCAUGUGGUACUUCAUCAUACGAUUCAUAUAAGAUCCAUCUGUCUAGAUAUCAUCAUAUACAUCUAGAAGUACUAAAUUAAUACACUUUAAAAUAUAUAGUACUAAACUGAGAAAGUGUGAAACCACAUGGGUAGUAUUUAAAGUUGACCUUUUUAUUUAUUACAAAAUAUUUUAAUAUCUUAAAACAUUAAUAACAAUAUUUCACAUUGUUUUCAUAACGUUUUACAUUUGAAUUCAAGAAUUAAUUCAAAAUAUUGAACAUUUUCGAGACAUUUUUAAAGUAGAGAGUUAAAAAUUUAUGUAAUCUUUUGUGUAAUGGGAUAAUUAAGACAUCUGUGCAAGGAGAGUAUUUCUUGUGACAUAUAAGAUCGCGAGAAUAUCGCAAUAACAAAACAAAGUACUCUUACUACGGAAAACAUCACUAGAUAACUUGUUUUGUCAUCCAAACAGGCUCUUGCAGCCUAUUCUAAAUAUUUUCUUAUUUUCCCCAACUUGUUUCGUUAGUGUUACACAUCGCUAACAGAAUUUUAAACUUAAACUUUCGAGCUGAAUCAGUGACAAUGUCGGGAUCAGCAUCGCCCUUCACGCGAGAAGGAACAAGUGCCAAUAGACCUUGCCCGUCAGCCGCUUUAUGUGAAAAUCCUAAGUUGAUUCGUAUGCUGCGUAAUCCCAGUGUGAAUUUAGCUUGUAUUAGUGAUACUAGCGGUUCACCAGGAUCUGCAUUUAAUGCAGAGUCUUCGUCGGUACCGAUCUGCAAUGCCCAUGGCAGCGAUGUAGGUGGCGGGCCAGCCAAUGUGGCCCCUAAAGAGUCUGUAAAGAGGAGGCGCGGAAGGCCGCGGAAAUACGGAUCGGAUGGAACAGUAGCUUCCUUGUCAGCGAACAUGGUUUCAGCACAAGAGGCGACUGACACGCCUGCUCAAAGUCAGAAGCGAGGAAGAGGACGACCGCCCGGUUCAGGAAGAAAGCAGCGGUUAGCACUGCUUGGUGAGCAAACUAUUGCAGACUAGUUGCACCUCAGCAGCAACUCUUUCUGCUUUCUUCUUUCUUACUGUAAUUCGCGUUAUCUUGUUACUGAUUGUGAUUGACAGUACUUUUAAGUAUUGAUCUUUUCCUGCCAAUAUAGUUUCAGAUCCAAUAAUUUUAGUGUUUAAAUCGAUCUAGGAGCUGGUGGUAAAUAUGUUUGAGUUCGCAACCUAGUUGGGAGAGCCCAGGUGGGGUGUCUCUCCUUGCUUUUGCCGAGUUUAUCCAAUUUGAGCUUACUUCGGUUACUUUAUGCUCUGAAUCCUUGAGAGAUCAAAAUUUGUGCCAAGGAAGUUGAAUAUUGUUGUAGUGUUACAGUGAAUGUAUGUACAUUUCAAAUCAAACAAGACAUCAACGAGGCGUUCGCACAAGAAAGAAAACCAAAUGAUACAUCUUUCGCAUCUUCUCAAAAUGGCCUUUCUAGUUAUCUGAAGUAUCAGUGUGCUGUUUGUUUUAUUGCAAUCUCCACCAACAUCGAAUUCUUUAAGUAACUAUGUCGAUCGACUGUCUCCAUUGAGUAAUGCUCUUCUUCUACAGGAGAAUGGGUUGAAAGCUCAGCUGGAAUAGGCUUCACUCCACAUGUAAUCACAGUUCCAAAAGGAGAGGUAUGACUUGAUUUUUUUUUUUUCAAUAAAAAAAUUAUUUAUUUGUUUUUGGGCUUGAAUACCAAGAUAAGUUCAUCUUGAUCUUAGAUUUCUCUAAAUCCCUUCCCCAUUAGCAUUACAAACCAAGUGCAUUAGCAGCUUCUCUAGUUACCAAGUUUCCAAAUCUAAAUCAUCUGUAUUUGUAUUGUAAUAUAUAAUUACACAGGGUGAGAUUAUACAUCUGUACCUAUACACCUUUAAAUGGUUUCAGCUUAUAAUUCAGUGAAAAGAUCUUAAAUAUUCUUACCAAUCUUAUUGUUUCCAUAAUUCCAAUGCAUUGAACAAGUGCUGGAUAGUGAGUUCGCAUUUUCUCUUUCAACAAGGUGGAAAUGUUUACUCAAUUUUGUUUUUGAUUAGGAGAAUUUUGAAUCAGCACUAGUUUUCGACAGUGUCGCAGAAAGGCAAAGCACAGGCAUAUAUCAUUGUAUAAAACAAUGGCUCUUUUCUUUUCCUGCAAUAUGGUGAUAAUUUGCAGAAUUGUGAUUUUAUCACGCAGGAUAUUGCAUUGAAGAUAUCGCAAUUCUCACAACAGAGUCGUAGAGCUAUCUUUGUUAUGUCAGCGAGUGGUUCCGUCGCCGAAGCGACUCUCCAGUGCCGAGAAGCCCCUAAUCACGCUGCAACUUACGAGGUUUGAUUUCAUCUGUUGUUAUCCUAUAUUUUUCAAUCCAACUUUUACGUUGUGCCAAACCGCCAACUAUGACUUAUCCCUGGUAUUAAUUUGUUUCAGAAAUGUGUUGCUUGACAUGUGCCCAGAUGGUUGUUUUUUUGAAGAACCUUAGUUGUUUUGUUUCCUUUUAACGUCGCAUUAUUUACAUUUACUAUAUUUAACCUCACACCUAGAUGUUGGAGUGUUCAGAGAAUGGAAGCAGAAAAUUUCUGUCAGAAUUACAGAAAACAUAGUCAAAUUGCAGAAGGAAUUUUCUGGAUGAAUUGAUUCGCAAGAUACAUAAUAAUGUAGAUAAACAUAAACAUGCUUGUAUAUUUGUCAGUUUCUUCAUAAGAACUUGUUCUAAUAGCAUUUUUGCAGGGUCCUUUCGACAUACUUUUUUUAUCAGGCUCCUAUUUAUCGACAGAGGAAUCGCAAGCUACGACGGGGAGUUUAAGCAUUUUUCUCACCUAUUCUAAUGGUAUGUUGCUCGGCGGUCCUGUUCGUGGACCAAUAAUAGCUGCGGCCCCUGUUCAGGUAGAUGUUAAGCCCUACACUUUGAGAUAUUGCACAAUACUCGAUGUUUGUUAUAUUUUUCGUUGACUUAAAUGGGCCAGUAUUCUGCCCUGUGACGGGAGGCCAUGUUGAGUCGAGUCAUAUUCGAAAUGGUGUGAGGCUUGGUCGAUCGAGUCAUAUUCGAAGUAGCCUGAGGCUGGUUGGGCCAAGUCACAAUCAAGAUCCGUGGGCGCUAUAUCUGUACACUUUAAGUGAAUUGGUUGUGUAUUUCUAACCUUUUGGAAUUAAUGACUAGCGCAACGAUUCGACAAGUGGUAUCAGAGUCAGAGGUCACGGGUUCGAUUCUCGUUUGCUGUAAAUAUGUGCAGGUGCUGGAGAGGAGAUUGUUGGCUUAAAUGGGCCAGCAUCCUGCCUUGUGACAGGAGGCCAUGUUGGGCCGAGUUAUAUUCGAAAUGGCGUGAGACUGGGUGGGUCGAGCCAUGUUUGAAGUGGCGUCAGGUUGAUUAGGCCAAGUCACAAUCGAGAUUCGUGGGCGCUGUAUCAUUACGCUUUAAAUAAAUUGGUUGUGUAUUUCUAACAGCUCGAGCUUUUAGGAUUAAUGGUUAGCGCCAACGAUCUGACAUUUUCAUGUUCUUACAUGUGUAGAGAACCGAAUGAACAAAAACUAAUCCUCGGUCGCAUAUUCAUAGUUUUUCCUUGCAGUAGCAUAAGAUCAAGAGUUUGUGACUAAACAUAUUACUUAAUCCUUGUAGCUUAUUGUUGGAAGCUUCAUUUAUGGCGGAACGAGGAUGAAGGAGAAAGGAAAAGGCAAGCAGGCAGCAGGUUCUGAGUUUGUGGGAGACAGUUCAAGAACAGCAUUCAGUACAGUUCCUCCUAAAAAUUUUGCUCAUUCAAGAGAGGGCUGGUCUAAUCUUAAGCACACUGGUAACAUUGGAAUCAACUCGACUCGCGGAUAGAGAUCUUCAGAUUUUGGCAGACAUUUUCAUAUCCCCACCUGAUGCUGCUGAUGCAGAACUGGCAUGAACCAGUGUUGAUUGGAUUAAAUCAUCACUUUUUAAUUUAAUUAGAUUAGUGGAGCAUAUCUUUCAGUUAGUUCAAUGAGAAUUUUUUUUUUUUUUAGUUGGUCGUAUAGGAUAAGACCAAACCCGAAGUUGGUGAUGUGUAUCUAAAGUUGAUGGUAGUAUAAAUAAGAUGUAGACCUUCGUUGUAUGGAGAAGACGAUGAUGUUAAUAAAUUAAUAAAGAUGAUUCAGAGCUUUGGUGCAGGAGCAAUCUUUUUCCUUCGCGAAUGCGUCGUUCUGAAGUGAGUCCAGUUCCGAUGUGAGUUCGGUUCAAAAGUGAGUGCUAAUUUUCUUUUCUAAUUUUUUUUCUAUUUUUGUUGAAUUUUUCUAUUUUCUUUAAUUUUUUUAAUUACGAAAAUUUCUAAAAAAUGUAUUUAAAAAACUUUCAAAUUUUCAAAAAGCUUUCAAAAUCAUAAAUUAUAUUUUGGAGUCCUCUAAAAACGUAGGACCCUAAUCCCGUCCUACAUCAGCUUUGGUAUCAAAGCUUUGACGAUUUUAUUUCGUCAAAAGUUUUGAGCUUACAGAAGAAAAUAAGAUAAAAAUUUUAAAAAAAAGUGAGUAAAAGUAUUAUAAAAAAAAGAGUGGAGUGACAAAAAAAAAAAAAGGUUGAAAGAAAAGUGUCUGGGAAAAAAAAUGGAGAUGGUGUAAAAGAAAAAAAAAAAAGAAAAAAAGAAAAAAAGGGGAAAAAUAUCAUGAAUGUAAAAAAAUGUCUUAAAUUUUUUUUUCAAAAGUAUGGUAGAAGAAAAGGAAUUCAUAUUGAGUUAUUGAAAAAAAUAUGUGAGAUGACAAGAAUCAAGUUUGAUGAAUGGUUGUACGAUCAGAGGUCAUAUUUUGAGAGGAAAAAAAAUGAUAUUCGAAUGGAAACACUAGAUGACUUGAGAUGGUGGUAUAGACAAAACCAAAUAUCACAUAAUAUUUUUAGAGGAAGAAGAUUGAAGGUUGAAAGAUAUUGAAAAUGGUGCUAAAAUUGCUGAAGAUAAUUUUCGAUGAAUGGGUAAGGUCAGAUAUGAGUAUCAAUUAAUCCAACUGAAAGUUCAACUGGAGAACCUAAUUCUCAACAGAGUACGCCACCUAUAGCACAGUUGGGAGUCGACAAUUCUGAUUCGGUUCCAUCUAUACCAUCUGAUUGCAAAAAAGUUCUAGAUUUGAUUGAGUUAUUCUUGUUGCCCAAGCAAUAUGAGUUCACUACACUAGAGCUUCAGAUUGCAUCGAAAGCAUCUUUCUUAUUGGCAUCAAACCUAACAAAAUCUCAUGAAUUUAUCGGUUAUUCUUCCUACUUCAAUACCAAACCAAAAACUCAAAUGAUACAAGCGGUUCGACAUGCAAGCAUUAGACUGCAUCACUUUAUUCUGUAUGCUUAGUUGUUUUCUAUCUUCUUACAAAUCCAAUUAAUCUCGAGAACGAGAUCCUGCGCAGCGGAAGCGAAUGAUGCAGAAUAGAUAUAAACCAAUGUUGAUCGGAUUAAAUCGAUUUAGUUCAUCGUUUUUUAACUUAAAGAUUAGAUUAGUUUAGCAUAUCUUUCCGUUAGUUAAAUAAGAAUUAUUGUUUAGUUAAUCUUUAAAUAAGAUUGUUUUAGUUGGUCAUAUGGGAUAAGAUCAGAUCCGAAGUUGAUUAUGUGUAUCUAAGACUAAUGAUAGUAUAAAUAAGAUGUAGAUCUUUAUUGUCCAAAAAAUUAAUGAAGAUAAUUCGGAGCUUUGGCGCACAAGCAAAUCUUUUUUCUUUUGCAAAUGCGUCGUCCUAUAGUGAGUCGAGUCCCGAAGUGUCCCGAAGUGAGUUCUGUUCUAUAGUGAGUCAUGAUUAUCUUUUGCAAAUGCGUCGUCCUAUAGUGAGUCGAGUCCCGAAGUGUCCCGAAGUGAGUUAUGUUCUAUAGCGAGUCAUGAUUAUCUUUUCUAUUUUUUUUUCUUUUUUUAUUUUAUUUAAAUUUUUUUAAUUACAAAAAAUUCUAAAAAAGUAUUUCAAAAACUUUCAAAUUUUUAAAAAAUUUUUAAAUUCAUAAAUUAUAUUUUUGAGCCCUCUAAAAAUGUAGGAUCCUAAUUCCAUCCUACAUCAGAUGCAAACCGAGGGGUUACUAAAUCAAAAUUUUCAAUUUCAUCACCACCUCAGGUGAAGCAUGUGAUAGAAAGAAUUAUUAGGGUAGCACAGUAUACACGAUGUAGCCUUCAAUUUUUCUCAGUAGUUUUGUGACUAUGUUGACACAUAUAUUUAUAAUUCUUUUUUUUCCUUUGCUUGGAUAUAAGCUAAUUUUAUACAUGAGUAAUACUAUAUACCUACAAACAAAUUUUACUGAUGCUUUACAGCAAAAUUGGUGAACAAUUAUAAAUCACAAGAAGGCAAGCAUGAUUUAUAAUUUCAAAGUUGAAAUCCAAUCAUUAACUUGUAGAGUUUGUAAGAUAUUAUACGAUUUAUUUGUAAGCAAACAUUUUCCUUUUAUACAUACAAGAGUUGAACAGAAUUUGGAUGCAGAAAGUCAUCAGUGCAGUGCACAGCUGAACAUUCUAAAGUCUAACAUCAAGUACUCAUCUAAUCUUGCUGCACUGCUGAAAAUAAAAUGAACAUGCCACAAAAUUUGUUCCUUUCGCUACCUCUAGUGGAAGCAAUUCAUCAUAUCACCUCACCACAUUAAGCAUCACAUCUUUUAAGGUGUUGGAAACUAGAAGACCCACUCACCCACAGACAAGCAGAUGCAAGCUACAAUGUUGAUAUAGAACAGCUUAAAAGCAACAAAAUUAGGUAAAGAUGAACUCUGCAUUUUAAACACUAACAUCCAAUACACAACCAUGACAACUGAUUGCAAAGCAAACAAAGCAUACAGUAAACAAACAUCACGAUCACUACAUUUAUUCUCGACAAAACAGAAAAGAGUGUACAAUUAUACUUCUCAACACAGUCUUAUUGCAGAUAUAUUAAGGCCAAAUGGACAGACCGCAACACCUGGUUGAGAGUGCUUACGAAAUUCCAAGCAGCUUCUUGAUGUCUUUCUGCAAGCGGACACAAAAGCGUUUUUAACAGUCUUAUCACUCAGAAGUGAAGCUGAAAACAAUGUCGGACUAAACUAAUUUUACCUCAAUGCUCAGUGGGGAGGUGGUUGGGGCAUAGCGGUCAACGACGUUGCCGUCCUUGUCCACCAAGAACUUGGAGAAGUUCCACUUUAUGCUGUUUCCAAAGAGACUGCCUUUGCUGGACUUGAGAAACUUGUAUAGAGGGGCCGUAUUGUCCCCAUUCACAUCAACCUGAGCCAAAAAUAGCAAAACACAAAAAAAGGUACAAGUUAAAGGGCAUUGUUGAUCUCAUAAGCAUGAUAAACAAACUAGUAUUAACUAGUAGAUAUGAUUUGAUGCCAUAUGCUGAAGAGUAAGAAGCUAUUAAGGGCCAUGUUGUGUUUUGUGUGGACAAAGUUUCACAUCUCCCCCUUGAACUCGGCAGCUUCAGGCUUAAACAUUAAACAGUUGCAAAAUGGUUUAUUUCGUAGUACAACUCAACAGCUUUCAGAUAUCAAAAGAUCUACAAGUUUCUGGACCAGCACUGAAACUUAAUUAUACGUGUGAAGCGCCUCAUAGAUUGGAAAACACAAACACAUACCCAUGCAAACAUACAAGAAAGUGAAGGAGAAGCAAUGAAGAUAGCAGGGAGAAGCCACGACUAUCAACAUAUAAGCAUCCUUUUUUUGCCCAGAUGAUUUGUAGUAGUAUAUUUUUUCAUCUUAUGAAAUAGCUUAUUUAAGUGUAACAAUGACAUAUGACAUGACCAAUGCAAUGAAACUCGAUAGUUUGAUUAGAGAUUACCUUGUCGAAUAUUGGGUAUUCAGCCUUAAAGCGAGUGCAAGCAAAUUCGACAAUCUCCUCAUUGCUUCCAGGUUCUUGUCCACCGAACUGAUUGCACGGAAAUGCUAGAAUCUCAAAUCCUGCAUCAUGCAUUGUACUACGUAAAUUGAAAAUAAUAAUGAGUUCGACAGAAAAUCGAUGUGAAACAAAAAAUGACACCAUUAGAAGUGAUACAUUCUAUGAUUACUCAAUUUGAAAGUACAUACACAGUCUUAAGUACAAACCUUGUACUCAUACGAACUAACAAAGAGUAACAGCUCCUAAAUAAUUAGUUCAAAAGAGAAAUUAAGGAUAAUACAGCUCUAACAUAUGAUGUAAAUGUUCCAAGACCUACAAGAAUGUGAGGACAAAUGCAUGAUGUAUAAAUCAUGAGAGAAGAACUAGAAGAACAAAUUAGAUUCAAACAAAAACUAGAAAAGAGAAGGCGACAAAUUGAUGUAUACCCUGAUCCUUGUACUUCUCAUACAACUGACUCAGCUCCGUAUAGUUCGAAUUGGUCAAUCCACUGAAACAAGAAUUUACAGAUGAGUCAGAACAUGAUAACAUAUGCAUCUACAAUAAGUUUAAAAACAAUAAUAAUAAGUUAUAAAAACAGAAAGAAAAACUUCAAUAAGCUGGCCCAAGUUAGGUUAAAAGCACCGGCUUUCAUAUUUUGGAAGGCUCAAAAAAUCCAAAAGUGCUUUUAAUCUUUCUGUCUUCCAAUGCUAUAAAAUUAUGUGAGAACCUCUACCAGAAAAGCAAGUAGCUACAUACAUUCUGCAGUUCCCAUCAUAAUCACAGUAUUAGAGGAAAGAUUGAAAGCACUUUAUAAAAAAAAAAAAAAUUUGGCCACAAUAAGAUCCCAAACUAAGCCUAAGAAAGUUAAUAUGGAAUGUUUUUAUAUCCAAAUUAUGCAAGAAAAAAAAAAAAAAGCAAAAUAAGAAAAAGGUGUACCAUUGUGAUGCAACAUUCACAAUCAACAGAACCUUCCCCUUGUAAAUGCUGAGGUCCACAUCAUUUCCUCUGGCAUCCUGCAAGAAAACUAUUACUCAUCACAUCCUCGCAAAUAAGGAAUUGUAUAACUUCAAAAAACAUAAUUUUUUCCCACCCGAAAAUAAAAAAAUUCCCUACCCUAAUUUUCCAAAGAUGACAAAUUUAGCAUAUAAAUAUCAAAAUCUUGCCGAAUAAUAACCAGAUCACAGAAAAGCACCUCAAACCUAGAAAGGAAGAACGAGAGCAUCGAUUCGAAUCAAAUCGAGCAACAUAUCACCAACAAGAUCCGCUCUUUUCAAAUACCCCAAUCACCAAAUCACCCAGAAACCAUCGAAUCGAAUUAACCACGAAAACAGAACAAAUCCACGGCGACCGAGGAGCAAGAGGGAGAGGAACCAACCUUGACGGUGAAAUCGUGGACCGAGGUCGCGGACGCGCUGGCCAUGGAGGACGCGAAGCGAACUGGGCGAAGAGAAGGGCCUCUCGAACGGAUCAAAAGCGCUUUUGGGGAACGCAAAGGGGAAAAGGAGGAGGGGGUUUUGGGGAGAUGGAGGAGAGAUGCGGAGGAGAUGCUUCUUCGUAGUAUUAAACUCCCGAGAAAGCGAGAGGAGCCGCGAGAGAGGGCGAUGCGAGGAGAGUAGAGCAUACGCCUUUUGUGGAAUUAGGGCCCUCGAAUUCGUUAUUUAUAGAUUGAAAAAAAAAAAAAAAAAANUUUUUUGAGUCGGUGUCAAGUGUGAACGGAGUAAAGGGAAAAUGAUCUGAAGAGGCAACGGGGAUUUGACUUUUUUGUAACGUUGUGAUAUUGUUCGCGUGGAUAACUCACGACCUACAAUUUUACCAAAAUUAAUUUACGCGAUCUUGCGAGAGUUCUAGUUCUAGCAUUAACCCAUCAAUUUUUAUUUUAUUUUUUUUAAAUUAUUAGCAGAUGUCUUGAGCCACUCACGUAGUGCUGACGUAGUGCUUGCGUGACAGAAAUAAAAUUAAUUUUAUAAUUAUAAAUUUUAUAAAAUUAUUUUUUUAAAAAAAAUUAUAAGAGAGGGCUAAAUGCAAAAAAAAAUUUGAAAAAAUACACUACAAUUGUGUGAUAACAACAGUCACUAGCACAGUUAGAUAAUAUUUUAAUACUGAGAUUCCAAAUUUAAAAAUUAAUUGUUUAAUAUUUUUAAUGGUAAAAAUAAAUAAAGUGAAAAUUUUACAAUUUUUUUUUAAAAAAUAUUAUGAAUGGUAUAAAAGACAUUUAUAGCUUCAAAAAUCAGGACCAACUAGGUUUUGAACCCAGAUUGAAGGUUUACAAUCUCAUUAAUAAUAAUAAAAAAAAAAAACUAUAAAGCAUCGGUAGUUAUCAAUAAAUAACUCAUUUCAACACUCGAAUAGAAUAUUAAUUUGGAUAUAUUUAAGCAAGACUUAACUAAUUAAGGUCAUGUUUAGACAUCGGAUUUAGUUAUUCAAUAAUAAAUUAUUUAAUAUAAAAAUAUUUUUAUUUGAUUAGAAAUUACAAGUUUGAUUUUUUUACAUUUUGAAAGAUUUUUCUUUGAGAGAGAAAAGUGGCAUACUUUUCCAGCUUCACUUAUAUUUUUUAAAAUAUGACUUAACUAAAAACAUAUAUAAAGCAAUCAGACUUCACACCUGAGGUCUCUGAUGGCAACUAUCAAGCUCUGUCACCUGCAUUAGAAAUAGUUGGUACUUUUUAAAAGAUCUUGGCAUUUAUAAUUUUAUAGAAUAAUAUAUUUAACUUAGAGGUGAUUUAUCUUAUAUCAAAAAACUAAUCUAUAAGUGAAAUAUGUUACUCCUUUAAAACACUUGGUCAUACAUUUUAUCUACUAAAUAUUAUAGAUAUUGAAUAAAAUAUUUAUGUAUCGAAAAUAGAACGUAAGUCACGAAUGAUGUUCGGUUUUGAUCGUUCGGUUUUUUUUUUUUUUUUUUUUUUAACUCUUUGUCUUGAGGCCCUGAUUAAUUGCCUCACCUUUGUAGCCGAAUUCAUAUCUUCAAUGAAUGAAGCAGAUAGCGUGCUAUCUAUUCUAAAAAAAAAAACAGUCACGAAUGACGUAAUAAAAUAAAGUGGUUGCUUAAGAUCAGAUCUUACAUAACGGCCACAGCAAAUCAUGCAAUGUGAACGCAGUGCAGGAACAGUUUUCUGAAGCAGGUAGAGCCAAGUAGUGCUAAUGAAAUCGACCUGACUCAAAACUCCACCACACAUAAGAAGUGCAAAAAUACCUGCGAGCGUCGUCUCUCACGAAAUGGAUCUUCCCAAGAAGAUGGUCUACGAAAGGAAGAAGCUUCCAGAACGGACAACAGUCCUCCCAGAAGGUUCCAGUAAGAAUCCACAGGGAACUUUGGCAUUCAGAUUGAAUGAUUAAUUCAACAGUGAGAAUGUAUGCGUAAAUAUGUACGCCACAUUUGUUUAGGAGUGAGCACUAGUAUCAUUGCUUAACUAACCAAUGAUAAGUAUAUAUGGUAAUGGUAAUGAAUAACCAUUAAGUUAGAAUAGUUUUGGUCUUUUUUUUUUGAGAGAGAGAGAGAUAGGUAGCAGCAUACUGUCCGCUUCGUUUAUUUCAUUUAAAAUAAAACUUAGCUCGAAAUAUGAAUCAACUAGGAUUCGAAUUUAGGUCUCGGGUACCAACGACCAAGCCCUUUGUCUUGCUCUAGAUAGGGACAGUCGGUGAAUAGUUUUGGUCUUAAGCAUUCAAUUAAUGGAAGCUUUUAUAUUGUAGUAACAUUAUUAAUUAGUGAAACUAAUUAUCAAAAUUGACUAUUCAUAACCCCGAAAAUUAUGCUUAACAAAUCAGCCACUGCUCACAUGCAUAUAGUUAUGAGUUUAUUUUUUUAUUUGAGAGAAAAAUAAUAUACUAUCAAUUUUAUUUCUUUUAAAAAAAAUUAAAUUUAGCUAGAAAUACCUAUUAAGCAGUUAGACUUUGGAUUUCUUUUAAAUAUUGAAUUUCAACAAUCAAGCCAUUUAUUAACCCCGUUAGAUAGCAAAUCAGCUUCUCUAUUGUUGUUUAUGUAGCAAGCAAACCACGGUCACAUAAAUAUAAUUUCAAAUGCUUUGGUAGAGAUCAGAACACCAAACACAGCCCAUACUGUUUGGUGUAUCGAUCACCAUACUACAACAACUGCACAACAAAAUGCCCCCACGCACAGCAACCACCAAAACCAAAAACAAGUUAAAGCACAAACAAACACCCAACACAAUACAACUUAAACCUGUAUGAUCACCAAAUCCACACACACAGACACAACAAUUCCGUUUAUCAUAGUAAGCAGUCGGUCCUCGCCGGCAAUCGGCGGAAAAAGUUCAUGGGCACGGCCGGCAGCCGGUUCCGGAACCGCGGGUGCCUCAUGCAGUAGAAGCCGGGGAGCAGCGCCACCACGGGGAACGGCGUCACGUAGAGCACCAGCGCAGCACAGAGGCAGAAGAGCAGGAACACGGCGGUCGCGCGCGGGUCCCUCCAGCUGACCAGCGCCUGGCACCGCUCGCCCUGCGUUGCGACGUCCCCCACGAUCGUCUGUAUCCUCCCCGCCACGCUCCGCAGCCGGUCGUACCUCAUCCGCACGAUCUCCGGGCUGCGGCUGGUCGGGAAGGUGUCGAACUCCUCGUCGAGCUCGUCCGGGUGCGCGACGUCGGCGUGCGAUAUCCGCGUGUUCAUGUGCGGCGGGUGGCGCGGCCGGCGGCGGUAGUUCCACAGGCCGAUCAGGAAGAGGUAGAGGAAGAAGGUCGGGAGGAUGAGCUCCGGGAAGCAGACCAGCAUGACGAACAGAAGGUGCACCAGAACGGUCGUCACCGGAUUCGUCCAGCAGCAGACGUCGGCGAACCACUUGGCGACCGCGAACACGCCGGAGAAGACCGACAUGAGCCGGAAGAAGUUGGCCUUGCUCCGCCGCAUGCUCCAGAGGUGCGCGUGCGCGUCCGACAUGUGCUCGACCACCUCCCGGCGGAGCGGCGGCUCCAUCCGGCUCAGCCGCAGCGCCACGAUCUGCACCGCCUGGUGGCGCAGCACCUCCUGCUGCACCAUCGACAGCGGGCGCACGUAGUGCAUCCGCGGCAGCAGCGGGCGCGAGUACGCGUACAGCGUGUCGGAGAAGGACGUCGCGGAGAAGCGGAUCGCGAGGUGGAGCUCGCCCAUCUUCUUGACGCCGGAGUUGUGGAGGACGAGGAGCGGGUAGGAGUGCGUGUACACGCGGCCGGUCUCGAGGGUCGAGAGCCGGAUCCGCACCUUCCCGACGAUCGCGUCCCUGACGGCCUCCGCGCCGGCCGGCCGCCUCUCGAGCUGGCAGUUGUCGAAGACGCCGACGGUGAGGACGGUGGCGUGGUCGUGGACGUCCCACGUGUACUGCUCGUGGAACCGCGGCGAGAGCCGGUCGACGACGGUGCGCGUCCGGACCCACUUCUGGCCGUACUUGGCGACGCAGUAGGGGUCGCAGGUGCCCCUGCCGUCCCGCGUCCUCAUCGGGGUGAGGCCGUCGGCGUUCAGGACGCCCAGCUCGAGCAGCCCGAUCGGAUCCCUCCACAGGUGCUUCGCCGUCGGGCGGAGAUCGCUGCUGUAGUGCGUCGACUCGCUCAGCACGUGGUAGCCGCCCUCGAGGCAGAGCCGGAGGUGGAGCUUGCUGGAGAACUUCUCCUCCUUGAUCGCCUCCGCGCCGCCGCCGUGCCUCUGCAGGCCGAACCACCUCGACGCGACCUCCCGCUCGUCGAACCGCCGCUCCAGCUGCGCCAGCGGCACGCGGCAGUGGCCGAUCACCUCCUCCUUGUUCGGCCCCACGCGGUCCUCCACCGACAGGAUCAGCUCCUCCUCGAAGGGCUCCGCCGCCACGAACAGGUGAUCCUCGUCCCACCGGUAGUACGGCGGCGUCCGGCACGGCGCCACCCGCGUCUUCAGCACCUGGCUCCCCAGCUUCGCCCGGACGAACACCUCGCCCACCCGGCUGCGGUCCGACAGGAACACGUCCUGCGCCUCCACGACGUGCACCCGGACGUACCACAGCCGCGGCGCGUGGUAGACCUUCCCCCGGAUGUGGACGCUCGCGAGGAUCGGAUCGACCGGAGCGGAGUCGGCGUGCAGCGCGUUCGGGAAGCACUCGUCGGCCUGCGUCCCGAUCCACACCGCCAGCAUCAGCUCGCCCUUGAUCCUCUCCCCCCUGACGUUCUCCAGCCGGUACCACUCCGGAGCCAGCGGGCUGUCCGGCGGGACGCGCAUCGGCACCUCGUUCAGGUCGAAGUGCACCCGGCCCACGACGCCGUCCUUCGCGAGCGACUUAUCCUUGAGCACCACCUCCACCAGCGACGACUGCACGCUCUCCCGCGAGAACGCGAACACCUCGUCCCACUCCGGGUUGUGCUUCUUCUCGAAGUGCUUCGUCGUCCCCCGGUAGUUCCCGAGCCGCACCUCCACGAACGGGUCGAUGCUCCCCGCGACGUCGCGCGGGGGGAGCUCCCGGCCCUUCACGACGCGGACGAAGAGGUAGUGCAUCCGCUCCACGAGGUCGUAGGUCCCGGCCGUCCGGCCGCCGGGGAAGACCCGCCCCCCGAAGGCGCGGCCGGCGCCGAGCGGAGGGUUGGUUUCCUUCAGCUGGAAGUCGAACGGCUGCCGGAACGAAGCCGACGGGAACGCCGGCACCGACACGGCGCGGAGCGGCUCCGGCUUCAUCUCUUUCACCGCAAACGUCAACGCCGGUUCCGCCGCCACUUGCUCUCUGGAGAGGUGGAGGAAGCUGUUAUUACGAGCAACGGUCUCUGUUUUGUCCGCAAGUGAUGGAGGGUCCUGAUUAAAAGCAGCGCCGGGCUGGAUCAGAGGAUCAACGGCUGGGAUUGAAGAGUUAGUUAAGUACACUUUGAGGCCGAGCUCCCCCCGGGCGCGGGAGAAGAGGGAGCGCUUCUCCAAGGGGUAGUAAAGAGUGGCGGCGUCGGCGAAGGAAACGAAGGAGGUGCUGGAGAUGCAGGCCUUGCCGAGGAGGGACCUGGAGCCGGUGGACCGGUUGAGGUGGAAGACGAGGGCGUGGAGGCGGAGCUCGGGGAGGGACGAGGGGUCGGAGACACGGAAGCGAAAGGCCUCGUUCCAGACCGGGCUCAGGUCGUAGUCCUUUACGGUGGUGCGGGACUGCUGGGAGUCGAAGUGGAGCUCCGCGAAGGCGUUGGCGGUGCCGUCNAGACGAGGGCGUCGAGGCGGAGCUCGGGGAGGGACGAGGGGUCGGAGGAGACGCGGAAGCGAAAGGCCUCGUUCCAGACCGGGCUCAGGUCGCGGUCCUUUACGGUGGUGCGGGACUGCUGGGAGUCGAAGUGGAGCUCCGCGAAGGCGUUGGCGGUGCCGUCGCCGUCUCGGGGCGGGGCAAGUUCGCGGGCGCUGACGACUUCGACCCCCAGUGUGAGAUUGCUGCUCAUUCUUGUAGUGGAGGCUGGAGCAGGGGUGGGUGGAGGGUAGACGAGGGAGUUCAACUACUGAGCGCUCAAUCUGAUCAAAAUGGAUUGAGAUAUAUGUAUAUAUAAAAAGUGAUAGAAGAUACGGCAGAAUCCAAACAUAUUAGCAGUUAGAAAUCGGAGUCAGCAUGCAUUAGGUAUAAUCUAGUUAAGUACAAUUGUAGAUCGUUUGGUUUCUUAUUAGAUCGAAUUUUGAUGUAGCAGUUCUAAGUUCACGUACUUUUUACAUCCGUAUCUUGCCUCACCAGUCAAUUUUACGUGUCUUUCGUAUUUAUCACGGAUGUGAUCAGAGUGACUAAGUGUAUUCUAUCAAAUAGAUUUUUUAAAAUGACAUGGAAUAUAAAAUAUUCUUACUAUAGGUUUUAAAAUACAUGUGACAUUUGCGAAGUGCGUAUAUAAAUUAAUCAAAAUUUUUCAUAUAUAUAUAUAUGCCAACACAUUAACGACCCCAUAACAGUAGCAUUUUAGAAGAUCGGUACCUGCAUUCAUUAAUUAAGGAGAUUGAUUUAGUAAAAAAUUUUCAAGGUAAGCAGAAUUUGAAUAUGAUGUUGAAAUUAAAAAGAGUCCUAUUGAAUAUGAAACUUGAACAUAAUUUUUCCUAUAAAGUAAACCCUCUACAGCAGCAUCAGAGCCUACGAGGUAGUCAAGUUGCAGAAGAUAGGAAAAUGAAAGGGAAUGUAGUUCAUGAAAUUGAUGAUAAAAUUGCUGUCAUAGCACACAGCUAUCAUGCAUACAAUCUGAUUGUGGUCCAAAAUUUGAAACAAUAAUAUAUUUCCUGUUAAACAGUAAGCAACAUCAGUACUCUUCCUACCCUCUCUCUAUCUGCAACAGUUAGUAUCUUCACAAAAUCUUAGUUUCUGAUUAAAUGACUGACAGCUAAGUUCAACUUACUAAUGACUUAUCUGUUGGGGUCCACAGAAAAGGAAAAACACUUUCAAGAAUGUCUGGAGAAGAAGUUUGUGCAAUUUGUUCUGACGGGCGCAAAACCGUUAUCCUGAUACAGGCCACGCUACUCGUUUCAACUUUCGUCUGUUCAAUUAGAUCAUGCGCACUUUUGUCGGAUCUAAUUACUACACUUGUAAAUAUUCUGCAGGCUCAAAAUAAUCAUAUACAUUUCCAACUUCUUUAGGCUACCAUAUCAAGUUUGGCCUAGUGUAAAAUCACGAACUAAAUCAGCAAAAACCGGAGCUGAACAUUUGUUUGCUGCAAAAUAUUAUUAGUAGUGUUGUCAUUUGGAGUCUUUUAGAUGAGAUAUAGGACAGCAAUUGUGUGUAAAAGCAAUGAACUUGGUGUUAUGUACAACACAUUCCAUUAAAUUUAGGCCUUAGAGGAAGCACAUGAUUCACUCUUUAAAAUUUACUCUUAGAGCUUAAGAUAAUGUGACUAGGGACCACGAAGAUGGAGCUAGGAUUGAAAAUGCAGGGCCUACACUUUGUGGAUGCUAUAUUCCUCUUGAUCAGGACAACCAAUUGGGAUCAGAGAACAGGGAAUAUGGAAAGCAAAACAUACUUAUGAAUGUGCAUUCAAAAAUGAUAAAUACAGGAUUAAUGGCUAAUCCUUCUAUCCCUCUUUACAUAAUAAAGUUGGUUAAGGAAAAUUACGCUUAUUCCCACACGUUUCUCUUGCGCUUACCGUCUAUUUAGUUCAGUUUCAGAAACAGCUUUUCUGUUUGAUACAUACUAGCCAGACAUUUGACAGAUAAAAAAAAGUCUAGAACUUUUACUGUGAGGAGUUCUGGAACCUUCGCUGAAUUGAGCUUUUCGACCCUAUAAACAAAAAGUCUUAUUUAAAACUGUUGCCUUUAGUGCGUAAUUGCUUAAGAAUAGUGUAAAUUUCUCACAAAUAGCAUACCAAGCUCUCAAUUCCAGUACUUCACAACCUACUCCACUAACCAUAAUAUAGCAUCAUCAUGCUUUUGGAGAGAAAAUAUAGCAAGCUAUCUGGUUCGUUCAUUUUUAAGAAAUAUACAAGACAACUAGGCUUCUAACUUAGAUUGCGGGUACCAACUAUCAAGCAGUUAGCUGAUUGUACUAAGUAUGAUCGGUAUUGAAUUUGGAAUCAUACUCAAUUCCUUUUGUAACCGUUAUAAACAAAAUGUGCUGAAAAUCAUCCUCAUCAAUUUUAUUCUUUCCAGAGAAAUGUAGUGAAGCCAUCCACUUCAAUUGAUUUUUUAGAAAUGAACUCAGUUAGAAAUAUAACGCUAAUAAACUUCGAACUUAGAACUUCGAGUAACAAAUAUCAAGCCCUUAGCCAACUGCGCAAUGCACGGUCAGUAUCAGCAUCAUCAUAUUAGGCAUGUACUAAUAAGUCUUUUCUCCUAUAACUGAUCCACAACAAACCACUCUUAAUUAACACAAAUUAUUUAAAAAGGAAAAGGAAAAGGGAAAGAGAACAAAAUAUAUAGCCAACAUUAAUAGAAGGGAGAAUCGAAUCCUUCACCUUUGCCAAUUAGAACUUCUUUUUUUUUGAGAAAAAGAUAGCGCGCUACCCGCUUCAUUCAUUCAGUAAGUGAAUUAAGCUACAUGGGUGAGGCAGCAAGGCCUCGACGAAAGGCGGAAAAAAAAAAAAAAAAGAAAAAAAAAGAAGGAGACCAAUUAGAACUUCUUCAGAGAAAGAAGCUGCAAUGAACAGCGACAGAGAAUAAGAAAAAUGAAGGAAAAAAAAAAGAAAAAGAGAGAGAGUGAAGAGGAGAAAUAAUGUGGAGAGCAAUGAGAUUAAGUAAAUAAUUAAAUAAAAAUACAAAUAUUUAUAUCAAGGAGACCAAAGGUCACUUUUCUUUUUUGUUCAGGUACAACUUCUUCUUUUUUUAUUCUUUUUCAAAUUUUUCGAUGACUUUGUUUUCAAACGCAACGGUCUACUGCUUUCCAUAUUUUAUUACCGCCUAAUUCAUAUUUUUAUGUCAAUUACAACCGUCCGAUUAUUACUUUGCGUCUUGUAAUUUUAUUAUAAAUUAAUUAUAUAUUGUUCUUAGUAGUGAUGAGCAAAUUCAGAGAUCUAAAAAUUUGAGCUCAUUUUAUUUUUAGUAUAACGGACUCACUAUAUUUUUGAGAUAUUUUCUUGGUUUUUCUCAAUAAUUCCACAAAAACAAGCGAAUAUUCUUUUGAUAAAUACAAAUAUUGUUUUUUAUAAAACAAUAAAAAUGUUUUAAUAGCACAAAAUUAUAUAGCAUUGUUAAUGCUUCUAACUAAAAUUAAGGGGAUUUUGUGAAAAUAGUUUUUUAGUUUUGAAUUUGAAAUUUUGGUCCAAUUUUUUUUUGUUUUCACAACUUUGGACCAAUGCCUUUUUGUUGUAAUACAUUAUUACCUUUGACCCCAAAAUGGAAAAAAAAAAAAAAAAACUGAUCCAUUAAGUUAACAAAACAAAAAAAAAAAAAAAAAAAAAAAAAAAAAAAAAAAAAAAAAAAAAAAGGAGAAAAUUUAGAAAUUGGUCGAUUCCAUUGGCCACGGACCACGAUUCAACGAGCACCGAAAAAGCUCUGUGAUUUCAAUAUUGCCCUUGUCAUGUUUAAUUCGGUGCUCGUAUUCUUUCGUAAUAGUUGUGGGUACUUCUGUCAUUUCAAGUUGACCGACCAUGUAGUUGGGGAUACGAAGUGCAUAAGAAUAAAAAAAAUUUAAAAAUUGGGUUUAAUUAAAUAAAUGUUAAUAUUAAUGAGCCACAUAAUCAUCCUAUACACAGAAACUUUAAUAAACUAUAAAGUGCCUACGUGCAUACUACUACUGCUAACACGUGAGUGAAUGAAUGAAUGAAUGAAUGAAUGAAUGGCCCAUUCCGCGCCCUCUCCAAACACUCUCCCUCCCCGCCACUCCCUCUCUCCCUCCUCCGCCAUGCCCACCACCUGUUCGACCAAACUCCCACGAGAACCCCUCCCUCCUACAACUCCCUCAUCCGCGCCUAUGUCCAAUCCCAUCUCCCCCACCACGCCAUGCGCCUUUUCGCCCACAUGGUCUCCUCAGGACUUCGCCCCGACCACUUCACCUUCCCCUUCGCCCUCAAGGCGUGCGGCGACCUCCCGCUCCCCAAGCUGGGCGCUGCGGUCCACCGCACGGUUUUGGCGUCCGGGUUCGGCUCGGACGCCUACGUUCGGAACGCUUUGAUCGCCAUGUACAUGAAUUGUCGGGACAAGGACGCCGCCGCCAAGGUGUUCGAUGAAAUGGCUAACCGGAGCGUCGUGUCGUGGAACACCAUGAUCUCGGGGUGUUUUCGGAACGGGUGCGCGGACGAGGCGUUGGCGGUGUUCGAUCGGAUGGUGGUGGGCGGUGGCGUCGAGAUCGAUCGCGCCACGGUGGUGUCGGUGUUGCCGGCGUGUGCUCACCUGAGGGAUUUGGGUAGAGGGCGGAGGGUGAAUAAGUUGGUUGAUGAGCUUGGUUUGGGGGCUUACGUUCCGGUGAGGAAUUCUUUGAUUGACAUGUAUGCAAAGUGCGGGGAUUUGCGAGAGGCGCGGAGGGUGUUCGAGGAUGGAAAGUUUGAGAGGGAUGUUGUUUCGUGGACGGCGAUGAUAGGUGGAUACGUUCAUAACGGAUCUCCGAAUGAAGCUUUAGCUCUCUCUUACCGUAUGCUGCAAUUGGGUGUGAGACCAAAUGCGGUGACGAUGGCGUCUCUGCUCUCGGCUUGUACUUCCUUGGCUUCUAUUUUUCACGGCAAGUGCAUUCACGCGCUAUUGAUUAGGCUGAGGCUCGAGUCGGACAUUAUUGUGGAGACCGCGCUUAUCGACAUGUACGCGAAAUCCGAUAACGUGGAAUUGGGUCUUAAGGUGUUUGAUAAGGGCUCGAGAAGAACUGCAACAUGGAAUGCUAUUAUAUCGGGGAAUGCUCGAAAUGGGGAACCAAUAAGUGCUAUAAGACACUUCAAGCUAAUGCUGGAAGAAGCUGUGAGGCCGGAUUUAGCUACAAUUGCAAGCCUCCUCCCGGCCUAUGCAGAGGCCGCAGAUUUGCAACGAGCGGGAAAUAUACAUUGCUGCUUAUUAAAAACAGGUUUUCUUCAAAGUAUGGAGGCAACCACCGGUUUAAUCGAUAUCUAUGCCAAGGCUGGGAACUUGGACGCAGCGUGGGUGCUCUUCCAUGGAUUAAGAGUAAAGGAUUUUGUUGCGUGGAGUGCUAUCAUCGCCGGAUAUGGGAUGCAUGGGCAUGCCAGGGUGGCUCUUUUGCUUUUAAAUAGGAUGGUCGAGUCGGGCAUCGAACCUAAUGAAGUGACGUUCACUUCUCUGUUGUAUUCUUGUAGCCACGCGGGUUUGAUCGACGAGGGUGUCCGACUGUUUGAUAGAAUGAUCAAAGUGCACCGCUUGAAACCCAACGUCGAUCAUUAUGCCUGUGUCGUUGAUCUUCUAGGCCGAGCGGGGCGGCUCGAGGAAGCUUACGGGCUUAUCAGAGAGAUGCCAUUCGAGCCCAAUUAUGCGGUAUGGGGCGCUCUACUUGGCGGCUGCGUGACGUAUGCAAAUGUGGAAUUGGGAGAGUUGGCCGCAAAGCAUUUGUUUGAGAUCGAGCCUGAGAAUACCGGGAAUUACGUGCUGUUGGGGAACAUAUAUGCGGCACUAGGCAGGUGGCAAGAUGUUGCGACUGUUAGGAAAAUGAUGGUUGGGAGAGGCUUAGUUAAAGAUGCAGGAUGCAGCUUAAUUGAAGCUAGCGGUGCAUGACCCAUAAGAGAAAUGGAGAAACGAGGAUAGUGCAUAGUUGCAGUUUGUAAUUAUUCUUUCCGUUAAGUUGUACUUGUCCUGGAGGAAGAAAGAGUUGAGAUUGCGGUGAAAAAUAUCGAAUGUAUUUUCGCUUCACUGUUUUCUUAGCAGUUGGUGUAUUGUGCACAUUUAGACAAUGGAGCAACUGAGAACUGAAGCAAGAUACAUGUAUUAUCAAACCAAAUGAUAUUUACAGUGUUCUGCUUAUUUUUCUUCAAUCAUGCAUAUUCACAUCUAUCACCAAAACCAAGCCACCACUCACACCAGUUUUUCAAAUUUUUGAUAACAAAGGAAAAGGAAAGCGCACAAAUCACAUGGAUUUAGUUGAUUUUAAUUCCUUCCAUCGGAAGGCGAUCUAGCUCCUUGGGCCUUCUGUAGUACUUCAGCAAGAGAGACCAACAAACAACACUUACUGACGAGGCUGCCAUCGCAGCACCGGCGACCCAUGGCGGCAGACGGAGUCUCGUAGAUGGGAACAGAGCUCCAGCAGCAAUAGGUAUUCCAAUAAUGUUGUAUCCAAGAGCCCAUACAUAAUUCAUUCGGAUUCGGGAGAAAGUCUUUCUCGAGAGGUCGAUCGCCGUUAUCACGUCCUCUAGAUUACUCUUCAUGAGGACAAUGUCAGCUGCAAGAAAGAUCUAAUAUACUUUGUGCAAUUCUCAUAACUAUAAAAUUAUUAAAUUAAGUAGCUUAAAUUUUUAAAGUCAAAUUAAGUAUCGCCAACUGGCUCAAAUUAAAUAAAUUAAAAGGUUGGUUAGUAAAAUCAACAUUUGAAAAGUUCGAUAGCCAACUAAAAAUAGUCCAUUAUAUAUUCAGAUAAAUUUUGUAUAUUUUGAUCAAAUAUAUAUCUAUAAUGCUGGGGUUCAUUUAGAAUAUUUAAUUGUUGUUACACUAACAAACAAUAGCAUAUGAGACAUGCUUAUCUGCUCAUUUCCGUGCAUCAUCUACAGGGAGCGAGAGAGUAAACUAAGGGCUAGCUCGUUUAGUAUUAAGACCUAUCUAAUAAUAAUAACGAAAAUAGAGUUGGAGUGACAUUGAUCAUAUUGAAGUAUACUUCUACGUUUUUUAUUGACACCGCAGAAAAUAUAUAUAUCGUAAUCAUUUAAUUACGAUAUACAAAAUAGUGAAAUUACGUAACGCAAUCUCCCCAUAAUUUCAAAUAUAGCCUAAGCGACGGACGGGGUGCAGCAGUGGACUAGGUUCCGUGGAAAUUAACCUCAUAGUGACCUCACGUGAUGUUUAGUUUAAUUAUUGUUUUGUUCAAAUGGAGUUUAAAAUUUGAAUGAUGAGGAAAAUGUCAAAGGAUUUUAGUCAGCGCGUUGCAAGUGGCGGGCUCACAAAAAAUAUCCGUGGGCUCGUCGUCCUUCUUUAAUGGGCCCUUUGAAUUUUGGCAUGGAAGGAUUUGGAUCUCAAUAUAACACGGCAUUUAUUAAUUCACGAGCAACAAAAAGAGAAAAAAAAAAGAAAAAGAAAAAGAAGGGGACGUUAUAUAGACUUUUUGUUCGUAGGACUAGUCCCUUUGCAGAGGACUUUUGGUCCUGUGAAUCAGGCGCCGUUAAUCGUGCACCAUAGACUGAAAUCGAUGGUGCGAUCUGCGUCGACACAAGUGCAUGCACAUAUAGAUAUCUUGGAUAACAAUGGAGCAACUGAGAAAUGCAGCAAGAUAUUUAUGUUUAUCAAGCCAAAUGGUAUUUACAGUGUUCUGCUUAUUUUUAUUCAAUCAUGCACAGAAACUAAGCCACCACUCGCACCUCUUUUUCAAGUUUUUGAUAACAAAAGGAAAGGAAAGCACACUCAACAUUUUUUUUGUCCCCUGAACAACUUUACCUUAUUCUUACUAUAUUGCAUGUUCACAUCUAUUUAGUUGAUUAUAAUUUGUUCCAUCCGAAGGCGAUCUAGCUCCUUGGGCCUUCUGUAGUACUUCAGCAAGAGAGACCAACACACAACACUUACUGACGAGGCUGCCAUCGCAGCACCGGCGACCCACGGCGGCAGACGGACUCUGGUAGACGGGAACAGAGCUCCAGCAGCAACAGGCAUUCCAAUAAUGUUGUAUCCAAGAGCCCAUACAUAGUUCAUUCGGAUUCGGGAGAAAGUCUUUCUCGAGAGGUCGAUCGCCGUUAUCACGUCCUCCAGAUUACUCUUCAUGAGGACAAUGUCAGCUGCUUCUAUGGCGAUAUCGGUGCCUGCACCUAUCGCGAUUCCAACAUCGGCAGAUACGAGCGCAGGUGAGUCAUUGAUUCCAUCACCAACCAUUGCCACAGUUUUGCCACUCAUCUGCAAAUAAAAUCAAAUACACUAACAUUAUCAUACACAGAAAUAUGUCAAACAGAAGAUAUUGCAGUGAAAAAUCCAUAUGCGAUUGCUCUAUCUCCCAAUGUUCUCAGAAUAACAAAAACAAUGAAACAGUACAUUUGGUAAUGGGUAUUCAAUAUUUACUAGAAAUUUGAAUCAUCUGAGAAGCGUAUAAGGUGUUUCUGGGUUUUUGUGAACUUUUGAUCAGCUUUGACGCAUUGGAUAAUAAUUUGAUGACUUGUAUGGCGCAACAAAAUAUUCAUUAAUUAUUCACAUACCCUCAAAAAAUUGGAGAAGUUCCACAGUAAUAAGAAGUUGAUGGAAUGAAAAAAGAGAAAAGAAGGAAAAAUAGAAGGUUGACUAACAGAAAGUGUUUUAUGCACAUUAGUCCCUAAACUCUAUCAAUAUUGUGUUUGAACCCUUCAAAACUCAAUAAUUUGUACAGUGGUACUCCCUUAAUAAAAAAUGUAGCACAUGCAACUGUAAUGAAAAGCUCAGGCUAUUUACAUACCUGUAGUUCUUUUACUUUAUCUGCUUUAUUUUCUGGUUUUGCUUCUGCAACAACACUGUCUAUACCAACCUCCUCAGCAAUGGCUUUUGCGGUGCCCAAGUUAUCCCCUGUUACCAUAAUGCACUCCACCUUCAUGGACGUAAGAAGAGAUAUUACUUCUCGGGCGUUGGUCUUUAGUGGAUCUGAUACUGCUAAUACUCCAACGACUUCUCCGUCCAAUAAGACAACUAUUCCUGUUUGUGCUUUUUCUUCUGCUUCCAUGAGGAACUCAGAGGCUUCAGUAGGGAUAGGGAUACCUAAUCUCGACAUCCAGCUCUUGCUGCCCACAAUAACUUCUUUGUCUCUAACCGUGGAUUUGACUCCGUAGCCAGUUACGGACUCGAAGUCUCGCGCUUCAGGCCAUACAUGUUCUUCUCCUAAAAUGUUUUUAGCAUACUGAAUGAUAGCCUUCGCCAAUGGAUGCUCACUGUUCACCUGUGAAGGAAGAAUUACAUAAUCUAUCAUGACAAGAAAAGAAAUACCUCAGUUGGAUUUUUUUUUAUUUUUUUGGUAGUCAUCAGAAUAUUUCUCUCUAAUUGAUAAAAUUUGUCCAUACAUAAUGGCACACUUUCAUAACGCUAGAAACAGUAGAAAUCGAGGAAUGAGUUUAACCUCAGCAGAUCCCACAUAUUCAAAGAAUUCCCUUGUGUUCAUUUUGUUCAGAAUCUUUCUGUCAACAAGGAUGGGCUUUCCAGUGGUUAGCGUCCCCGUUUUGUCAAACACAAUGCAAUUCACCUGCAAAAGGUGCAGUUUAGUUUCUUCUGGUGAUUGGAACUGCUACAAAAAAGGAAACACAAAAUUAUGCGCACUUCAUAGUUUCAUUAAUUCUGUCCAGUAUUGAAGCUCUUACAGUUGAACAGUUAGCAAGUAAAAGAGUUAUUGUUUAUUCAACACUACGAAGUAGAGUUCAAAAGGAGAAUGUACAGAAAAUUGUCACGCUGUCUCAAACCUUGUGUGCGCCCUCGAGUGCGUGGCCUCCUUUAAUCAGCACACCUUGAGAAGCACCGACUCCAGUACCAACCAUAACAGCAGUUGGAGUUGCUAGACCAAGGGCACAGGGACAAGCUAUCACCAUAACAGAUAUCCCAAAUUGAAGUGCGAGCUGAAAGCUAUCCGUGGAAGAUGGUAUCCAUGAUUUUGGAUAACUACGGAAUUUUCCAGCUAAAAACCAUGCAAGCCAAGUGAGUGAGGCAAGUAUAAUAACCUGCAAAUACAAACACGACUCAGUUUACUGUAUUUGCAAGUAAUUAACCAUAAUCAAAACCAGAUUUUCCUUAAAUAAUUAAUUAAUUGAUCACUAGGAACUAUAAGGUACAAAUUUAUGUUCUCAUGACAGGCAAUUCAUUAAUUCCUCAAAGUAUCAGCCAAAAUCAAAAUUAUUAGUUAGGUAUAGUUAUGCGAACGCGAACAAGACGGAAAGAACAGAGACAACAAAAAUCAUGGCACCAAGUCAUGAAAGAUUAGUGCACCAAAAUCAAGGAAUAAACAGAUGAAAUUCAAAUCUUUUUAUGAAAAAUACUUUCAAAAGCCACAAACUUGUGAAUAAACAGAUGAAGUCAUGAAAGAUUAGUGCACCAAAAUCAAGGAAUAAACAGAUGAAAUUCAAAUCUUUUUAUGAAAAAUACUUUCAAAAGCCACAAACUUGUGAAUACUUAUCAAUAGUCGGACCACUUUGGAUCAUUUGAUUCUGGAAGUCACGACUAAAGAAGAUAUUAUAUGUCAUAGGACAGUUAUCUCCUAUUCUCACUUAUUGAGGGAUUCUCACUCUUUUCCGGUAAGUUGCAUUGUUGUUUUAGUCGGUUAAAGAACUCUAUGGUGAAAGAUGAGUUGUUUUAAUAGGUUAAAGAACUCUAUGGUGAAAGAUGAGUUGUUUUAAUAAGUUAAAGAACUCUACGAUGAAAGAUAGUUAUACAGAGAGCGAAACUAAAUAUCAGGGGAAAACGACAAAAAAAGAAGGGGAAAUUACCAAGGGAACAAAGUACCCAGAAAUCCUAUCAGCGAGCUUCUGCACAGGAGCUUUUGCCAUUUGAGCUGAUUCAACAAGCCGCACAAUCUGCGACAGCGCACUUUCUGAACCAACGCGUGUUACCCUUACAUGCAGCACGCCAUUCUCAUUGACUGUUCCACCUAUUACAUCAUCACCUUUUCUCUUUGCAACAGGCCGAGAUUCACCAGUUAUCAUGCUCUCAUUAACAUAGCUUUGACCCCAAAUAACAGUACCAUCAGAAGCAACCUUCCCACCAGGCACUACUUUUAUCACAUCAUUCUUUUGUAUCAGCCGACUAUCUAUUUCCCUUUCAUUAACGACUUGUCCUUCACCAUCAUAUGCUAAGAGUGUCGCAGUCUCAGGAGCCAGGUCCAUAAGCUUGGCGAUGGCCUCCGAUGUUUUCCCUUUAGCCAGGAUCUCGAGAUACUUACCCAAUAGGAUAAAUGAUAUCAGCAUGGAACUGGUCUCGAAGAAAUCUGUACCCUUAAAAUUUGGUGAGAUUGCAGCUCUUACUAUCGAGUAAAGUGAGUAGAAGUAUGCUGUGUUGGUUCCUAAAGCAAUCAAUACAUCCAUAUUUGCAGAACCAUGUCGCAAUGCUUUGUACGAACCAGUAUAAAAUCUUCGACCGAUAACAAAUUGAACCGGAGUGGAUAAAAUCCAUCUCAAAAGCUCUCCAACAGUUAACAUGUGGACUAUCUUCUUAUCUAGCACAUUCUUAAUUCCCGGGAUGUACAUAAACACCAUGGAAAUGAGAAACACUGGAAUUGUGAAUACUAGACUCCAAAGAAAGGAGUGAUAGUACUGCUUAAUCUCCUCAUUUCUCAGCAUUUCCCUUCCCCCUGCUUCCGGAUAGAUAGAUGCCCUGAACCCUGCCGAUUCAACGACUUCGAUAAAAUUCCUAGGACCUGCCUGAUCAGAAUUGUAUGAUAUAGUUACUUUAUGAAGAAUUGGGUCGAUGUUUGUAUCAUCUACUCCAGGCAGAGAUUGCAGGGAAUCCUUAAUCAUCAAAAUAGACCUUUCAUCAAGUGCACCGUCGAUUUUGAGAUCUAUCCUAUUCCUAUCUUCCCCUGUCGUAAUCACUGUCGCGCCAUAACCAAUUCCUUCGACUGCUUCCACCAGUCGGUUGAUUUUGACAAGUUUGGAAUCAAAAUGGAUUUCGGCUUCUUCAGUAGCCAAGGCAACUGCAGCUUUCUGCACACCAGGAACUGCUCGCAAAGCUGACUCGACAGCACUCGAGCAAGAAGAACAUGUCAUUCCCUUUAUCUGCAGCCUACAUACAAGUUUAAUAUCCUCUUCUAUCAAUGUAGCUUCAAAUCCUGCAUCUUCAAUAGUUUCUCUGAUUUCCUCCACCUGCAAAACAUAGGCGGUUAUGUGAUCGACUAAAUUUUAACACAUAUUAUGAAAGUUGGAAAUGGCUAGAAAAUUGUUGCGCAAAGCAAUCUAUCAUGAAACUGUAAUUGUACCGAAUAAUUCAUAACUGAACUUACGCCUUACGGACUAAUUUAUAUGGCCAAUAUGGAAUAAGCCAUAAACCAAAGCAACUAUCGCAUAGAAAGAUUUGUUCUUUUUCUUAAGUCUUCCUUGAAAAUUUUAUUUUAAAUUGCUUUUUCAAAAAAAAAAAAAAAGAAUCCUGAUAAUUCGGAAGCUUUCGACACAGGGCUUCUUGGUUUCUUAUCUAAAAACCUUAGAUUCGGUAGGUUCUUUUUACAUGCUUUCUCACUGUAUGUUUUUAUUUUUAAACUGUAAAUGGUGUCCUUGCUGUAACUUUUAUCUUUUUUUACAAUGAAAUGGUAAGGUUCAACCCUGUAACUUCAAAAAGUACAUAUAGAUUAUAAGAAACACUUUAAUAAAUAGAUAUGUAUCUCCUACGAAAAGGACAAAAGCCGUUUCGCGUGAGUAUUAAUUGCAGUAGCAAUCAUAGCUAUCAUGCACACAGCAAUAAACCAAAAAAUUGACGUCCUUAAAUAUAGAAAACAAUCGUUUUAAGCCAAUCCAAAAAGGUUUUAAUCUAUAUGAUAAAUGACCUCCUUAGGGUUGUGUCGGAUUGGAAUUUGGAAAGAACGGGAACAAACCAGGUGAUAACCGGACGAAGCCAAAUCAAAUUUGUACUGGAGAUUCGAAAAAUGCGAAUCUAAGAUCUAAUAUCAGGUAGAAUUUAGGGGGGUAACUAGUUAGAAACGUUGGGGGAAACAGGAAACUCACCGAGACGAAGGCGGGGUAGAAGAUGACCUGGGCGCGGUUGUUGAGGACGUCGACGGCGGCGUCGUGGAUCCCCGGGAGGCGCUUCACGGCCUUCUCCACCGACCCGGCGCACGCGGCGCAGGUCACCCCCGUCACCGAGAACACCGCCACCGCCCUCCUCUUCUUCUCCCCCUCCGCAUCCGGCGCCGGCGCCUCCACGUCUCCUCCGCCGCCGCAUAAAUCCGCCGCCGCCGAUGACGAGGACGACGACGAGGGCUCCUUAGGGUAUUUGGGCAUGGAAGGGUACCGGGGCCUCGGCGAGAGGAGGCGACUCGUGGAGAAGGAGGCGCCGUCGCCAUUGAUGCACGAGAGGAGAAGCGCUCUACUCGCCAUUUCCCCUCUCUCUUCUCUCUCUCUCUCUUUCUCUCUAAGACCUUCUCUUUGCUUUUUUCGCACGCUAAAUUCAAAUUCUCUUGCCUCCUAAACACAGCAACGUGAUUGAGUUUGAAUCGGAGUCUAUAUAUAUUAUAUCUAGUAAUGGAACGUCUUAGUGGGCUCCUGCACCUGGACACCCGUUAUGCUAGAUGCAUGAAUACAUGAUGCACCGCGUUAAUAGCCUGCUUGGUUUAGAUCAUCUCCAAACCCAACCAAACACCUAAUUUACAGCUCACAUAAUCAGAUAGGAUUUUAAAUACAUCGGUUAAAAACGUACAAAAUUUUUAUGAACUACGAACUAUUUUAAAAUUUAAGUUUUACUAUCUAUCCUUUUAGUUUAUUUCAUUUAAGUUAGUCAGCAGUAUUUUGAUAUUAAAAUUUGAACGUGUUGUUUAUAUUUAUAGGUUUAGUUAGCAUACUUCAUAUAAUUUUCAUAAUUAUAAAAUUGUUAAAAUAAGUAGCUUAUACUUUUAAAGUCGAUAUCGCCGAGUGACUCAAAUCAAAUAAAUUGUAUAGCCAACUAAAAUUAGUCUAUUGUUCAUAAGUUUUGUAUGUUUUUAUCAAAUAUCUAUAAUGCUAAGGUUCUUUUAGAAUUGUUGUUACACUAACCGAUCGUCUCUAAAGAAAGUGGCAAAGGGCUUGGUGGUUGGUAUCCGAGACCCAAAUUCGAAUUCUAGUUGAUUCACAUUUCCAGCUAAGUUUAUUUCUAAAUGAAAUAAACAAAGCGGGUAGCGUGCUACCUAUCUCUCUCAAAAAAAAAAAAAAAAAAACAAAAAAACAA